UCGAAGAUCCUAAUGCGCAUUGAGCAUUUUCUAGAGCUAUGCAGCACGUGAAGAUGAAUGGUGUUCCCAUGACAUUAUCGUCUUCUCUUUUCCCUUUCUCACUCGGGAUAAAGCGAAGUCGUGUAUCAUACACUGCAGCUGAGAGAGAAUACUGUGUGGGAGGACUUGGCUCAUGGUUCCUACGAAAAUUUCAUCCGCUGGCCUUACUUUGAAAUUGAAGAUGGACAUCGUGCAGUUCAGCAGUAUGAGGGAGAAAAGCUAGCGGAUACUUGGGAGAGAUAUCAAGAAAAGCUCAGAAAGUACCCGAGCCAUGGAUUUGAUGAAGGCACGCUCGUGAUCAUGUUCUACAAUGCCUGCGGGGAACGUACACGGAUGCAUAUGGAUACAGCUGCAGGUGGCUCUCUACUCCAGAAAAGUAGUUCUGAAGCAUGGAGCAUUAUUGAUAGUAUGGCUUCUACGAGCUACCAAUGGCCAUCAGAGAGAAUGCAAUUGAAAAAGGUUGCAGCUGCUUCCAGUUCUGAUCCUAUAGCAGCAAUGGUUACACAACAAGCAGCAAUGGCUACACAACAGGCAGCGAUUUCUGCACAGCUGGCAGAGUUGCAUGAGAAGUUCAGUGGAUUGACUGUUGGACACCUUAAACAAGCUGUGAAAGACCCGUCGGGCAUGGAAGAUAUUAAUUUAAUUAAUGGCAUAAACUAUGGGAAUUUCCAGCGAGGACAGCCAGGAAUGUAUAGCAGAGGUCAACAAUAUCAGCCGGGUCAGCAGCAGUUCCAGCAAGGAGGACGCCGGCAUCCGAAUCUAUCUUAUGGCAACCCAAACAAUGCUGUGCAACCUCCACCAGGAUUCUCUGUUUCUAGUGGGGGAGUGAUAAAUGAGCCAAAGAAAGAUUCCAUGGAAGACAUGAUGAAGCAGGUGCUAAUGAAAGUGACUGGGAUGGAAACAAAUGUGGGGAACAAAAUUUCUAGCAUGGAAAGUAAUUUUUCAGCACUGUCCAAGCAGGUGCAAAUGUUGGAGAAUCAAGUUGGUCAGAUGGCCAACCAAGCAGCUGCGCAGCACACGCCGGGAAAAUUUCCUAGCAACACGACUGUCAAUCCUAAGGGCCAAUGCAAUGCAAUUUUCGAUGGCGCUCUGUCCCCGGAAGAUGAGGAGACAAUCGAAAUUUUUCUGGCAAGCUGUGAGGAGACGAGCAACGAGCACGAAUGUCUAAUUGAGGAACCAUACAAGGCUCCUGUUCCACUUAGGGAAUACAUUCCUAAGGUUCCGUUCCCCCGUAGGCUAAUGUAGAGGGAUGUGCUCGAAGAGCAAUGUGUAAUGAAGCCGCGUAAAAAGAUGGACGCCGAGAGAGCCAAGCUCGAAGUUUUACAUGGAAAGAAGGAGAAGGCAGUUGUCCACACCAAGGAGAUGGGUGAUGAGGAUGAGAAAAUUCCGCAGGCGAAAGCUGUGUGCACUGAGCUGCCAAUGAAGCUACUUUCGAAGAAGAAAGAUCCGGGUAGCUUCACCAUUAAGUGCGAGAUUGGAGGAGAGCUUUUUCCCGAGGCUCUUUGUGAUUUAGGGGCUAGUGUUAAUGUGAUGCCCGUCUCUGUUUUCAAGCGGUUGGGAAUUGGUGAUCUCAAGCCGACCUCGAUGGAGAUUCAGAUGGCGGAUAGAUCAAGAGUGAAGCCGAGAGGAAAGUAUUAAAGACAUCUUUGUGAAGGUUGACAAGCUCGUCUUCCCUACGGAUUUCUUGGUCCUCGAUAUUCCUGAAGAUGCAAAUCCGCCGUUGAUUCUUGGUCGAUCAUUCUUAGCUACGGGGCGAGCUAUGAUAGAUGUGCCGAAUGGAAGCGUUAUCUUUCACGCAGCUGAUGCGCAUGAGUCCUCUACCUCUGUUCGUGUUAGGCGAUCUGUCACGCCCGCUGCGUUUGAUGUUCAUUGAGGCCAUGAGGUAUCGUCGAGCUCUAGACGUUAAAUUAAGCACUUGUUGGGAGGUAACCCAACCGUUUUCUUUGUUUUGUUUUUCUUUCUUUUAGUUUCGUUUUGUUUCUUUGUUUUCUUUGUUUUGUUUGGGGUUUUAGUGCAGUUGAGCUUGGAAGAUGCGGGAACUCGCGCCUUGUUCAUACCACCACCAUGGAGCAUGUUUUUCUGUGAGUAGUGACACACAUAUCAUCAUCCCUCCAAACUUAUUUUCGAACUUAUGUUCUGUAAUAAGUUUGGGGGAGGGGGGUGAGAGUAGAUAUGUGUAUCACUUUUAUCUUUUUGUUAGCUUUAUUGUUUUAUCCUGCUUGGUUGGUGGUGUGUGAUUGUUUUUGAGAUGUUUAUUGCUCUAUUAGAUUUCUGGUAAGAUGCCAAUGAUGAUAUGUGAAAAAAAAAUUGAAUUUGAUUUUCUUUGAUGAGUUAAGCAUAAUUGGAACUAAUUUGCAUAAUUCUAGAGUGAUUUUGACCUUGAAUUUUAGACGUUGAAUAAACCUGUGAGGAUUUGAGCCAUAACUGUUUAUCAUACACAGUUUAUUCUUUGUUGUGAGUUUUGUCAUGCAUAUGUAGUGAUCUUCUAGAACUUGUCAUGGUUUUUGUGUCGAGGUUGCUGUUGUGCCCAGGAUUAGGAGAUGAUUUUAGGCCAUCUUUUGUUAGCCAUUUUAUUAUCCCAAACACUGUCCUUAACGAAAAAAUUAUCCUUUGUUAUCCACUUUGAGCCUAUUUAGCUUUUAUUCUUUAGCCGGAUGAUAGGGGGUGAUGUAGUAUAUGGGGAUCUUUGUGUGGUGAAUAUCAUAGUGGGUUGUGAAAAAGAAGGGAUGAUAUUGUGAUACUAUUUACUCUUAUAAGCUCUAGAAAAGUUGUAGAAAAAAAGAAAAAAAAAAAAAAAAAAAAAGAAAAAAAAGAAAAGAAAAAGAAAAGAAAAAGUGUGAAGUCGAGUGUAUAUUGAGAAAUUUGUUAGAAAAUCGACUUCGUGUGUUGGAAAUAAAUGGAGAGCAUAAAAGAGUGGUUAGUUCUGCAUUGUGAUGAUUAAAUCCCUUGAGUUGUGUUGAUUAUGGUGAUAUAGUUGGGUGGAAGAUGGAAUUUAUUCCAUACUUGAUUUGUGCUUUGUGAAGUUAUAAGGUUGGUGUUCUUGAUCUAUUUGAGUCACUUAGCCUAUAUCUCCCUACCUUAACCAAUGUCCCUACAUUAUAACCCAAAAAUAAAGACCUAUUUGAUCUUAGUCUUGGCACACUUUUAGCGAUGGAGAUUGUAGACGAUUGGCAAGCUUAUGGUAAGUGAUCUGCAUUGCAUUGAAUUCGAUGAGAGCAUACACGUCCUAUUCCAUAAAAUUGAGAGUUGAGUGAUACACAUACCUUGUGAGAUUCAAUUGUUUGGAAUGUCAAGGUUGAUUUUGCUAUAGGUUGUGUUUAUUAGUGAAUUUUGUGCUAAAUUGUUAAGGAUUUGAGAAUUCUAUUAUCCUUUAUUUUUCGGAGGCAUCGAUGAGCUAGAUUUCUUACCCAUUCGUGUUAUUGAUUGUGUUCUUCUCAUUAUUCGAGGACGAACAAUGGCUUAAGUUUGGGGGAGUUGAUAACACUCAUGUUUCCAUGGUUUUUAGUGUUCAUAUGAUAUUAUUUUAUAGGAAAUUGAGUGUUGGAUGAUUGUUUUGUGCUUAAUUUGUUUUAUCUUUUGAAACAUGAUUCUUACUCGAACUUUGAAGGAAAUUGCAGGUUUAUUGAGUUCGAAUUUGGUAAACUUAUCUGAAAUAGAAGUUGUAGAUCGUCUCGAUACGAGUUCGUGAGCGUAAACGGAUCAUAAAUCGGAGUUCGGACGAGAAAGUUAUGACCAAAACAAGAAAGUCGCGCGCAGCAGCGAAACGGCGGCGACACCGCGGCGACCGGGCGGCGACCGCCGCCCGAAGAAGGAAUUUUGUGAAGCAUCCGGCGACCCAGCCGGCGACCGCCGCGCAGCCCGCCGAGAAAUCGGCGUGGCUGGCGAUCGGGCGGCGAUCGCCGGGCGCCCGCCGCGUGAAGAGCUAUUUUUGUGAAGAAACCGGCGAUCGCCGGGUGCCCGCCGAGGGGUCGCCGUCAGCCCGUCUUUUUACGUUUUAUUUCGUUUUUAAAGUCCUUUUCGAGCUCAAACUCUGUAGUUUUACCCUGACACUAUAUAUAGGUCUUCCUUGUACCUAUUCAGGGUUCCCAGCUUUAGUUUUUCAGUUCUUAACAUUCAUAUUCCAGUUUUAUAGCUUUAGAAUAUUUUAGCUUUCCAGUUUUCAAGGCUUGGAUCAAGACUGAAGAUUCAAGCCGCUACAAUCGUUUUAUUACGGGUUUUAUACAAUUAGUUUUUACAAUUGCUUUCAAUUUAAUGAUGUUUAUGUUAUAUUUUAGCAUGUCUGGCUAGUUUCCUUUAGCUGAUUCUAGGGUUUGUAAAUAGUUGAUUGAAUUUAUGUGAUUUAUUUGUUAAUACCUUUGUGCCUUCCAGUUUAUGAUUCAUAAUUCCUGGUGCUUAAUUUCUUGUGAAUUAUCUGAUCAAUAGUUUGCAUGUUUAGCUAUUCGGUUUGAGACCUAGCGGAGAUAACUGUUUAGCGGAUUCAGGAAUGUAUGAUAUGAUUUUAACCUUGAGACCUAGCGGAGAUAGGUGGAUCAUAGAGAGCUAUUCUUAGGAGCUAUUGGGAGUUAGUAGAUUUUCUUGAGACCUAGCGGAGAUAGAAAAUUUACUAAUCUACGAUCGUUGCUGCUCUAGCGAGAGUGAUUGAUUAAUUAAGUGAUCUCUCAUCAUAACUAGAUUAAACUGGUACAUAGGAUUAAUAGAUUAAUUAUGUAGAUUUAGUUAAUGAAUUUACUACCCUAGGAUCAGUUGUCUUUAUUAUUUGAUAUUUCUUACGUGUUUAGAUUUAUUGCGUUUUAGUUUUAGUUAAUUAAAUCUUCUUCAUAAUCGUUUACCUGCAUACUGUGAGAGUCUAUUUAGGGAAUAGAUAGAGUGAUUUCGUUUUACAGUCUCUGUGGAUACGAUACUCUGCUUGCUAUUUCUGUGCUACAAUUACACUGUUUAGUUGCAGUUUUUGUUGCUAAGAAAUUAGUGAUCAAUAGCCGCACCCAAACUUGACAUAGCGAUGAGAUCUCUUUGUAGGGAUCAAAGAAACGUGUCCAUUCCCGGAGUCGAAAAGCGCCCUGCGACAAAUUCCAACCAUUGCGCUGCUUAGCUAUUGCCUUAUCCUCUGCAGAACUGAAGUUAAUAAUAUAGAAACCCUUGGCCAUAGGUGUUAGCGUCCAGCAACCUUUAAUGCUCCAAUGAUGUUGUAGUUCUUCCUUAAGACCGAAAGUAGUUCUCGGUUUGUCCCCUUUUUGAAGCAACAGUCGCCCAAUGAGAGCAUGAUCAAAAGUUUCCACUUGUUUCUUGUAAAAUUCAGCAGGGAUAUCCAAGUUGUAUUUACUGCCAAUCUUCUCCGAAUUCAAAGCCGCAAACUUGUUGGCCAAGAUAUCAGGCUUGCGGGCUGAACGAGGACGGACCAUAGCAGCGUACGACGCCUUGAUUUUGCCUUCCGAAGCCGCUACCUCAGGGAGUCCCGUAGGCAGCUGCUCAGCUGCGAGAACUUGUUGGUCAGUAGCAGAAUUUCCCGCAUUGAGAAGAGCACGUGCAGUAGGUAAAGAAUUAACAUCAACGUGAUUUUGAUUCUCAGCGGUAGAAAUUAAAAACUGUGUUUCUGCAGCCUCCUGCUGCUUAGUGUUCGUUGGAGGAGACCUAAAGUUAUUUGAAAUAGGAGGGAGAUUGAGUGCCGACCGGUCGGCAGAACCUGCCAUCGCCGGCACUAAUUGGCGAUCUCAACUUCCAGAGCAGCAGCAACAGCGGCGAAGUCCAACGAUCCAGACUGUGGCAGCUGUAAACUCGUCGGCUUCGUCUGAACGGAGCAGGAGUCCUACGAUCCAGAUCUUUGGAUCCACGCAGACGCCGAUCUAGCGCAGCAAGCAGCCCUCCCCACCGUCGGAGCGAGGCAGCGGCCGGCGAGAUCCAGUGACGUCGGAGCGAAGACAGCAACGACGGCGUCAAGCAGUGGCUUCCUUGAGGCGGCGUCCGGUGAGUGUUUGAGACUUGAGAGUGAAUAUUCGACGGGUGAAGAAGCCGCAGACCGGAGGCUGGAGGUGGUGCCGGGUCGGUGGCGACCGGCGGCAGGUGCAGAGGGGAACGGCGCACAAAACGCUGACCCUAAAAUCUCAUUUUUCGGAGAGGGAGAACGCUCCUGUACUGUUCAUCUAAGAGAGAGAAUUUUCCCAUCAGUUCACAAAAUGAUCGAACUAUAGAAUACCACAUACAGAUUUUCAUAGUUUAAUUUUAUAGAAUAAUAGUCAUCAUCUCAAUUGAUUUACUUUAUUUAAAUUAAUAUACUAUGUAUAUACUAUAUACUACAAAAAAUCGCAAGUCUUAUUUUUAUAUAGAUUUUACAUUUGCUAAAAUUUAAUUAAAAAGUGUCAUAAAAAUCAAAUAUGUGGUUCAAAUUGCAUCAUUUUAUUUUUAUAAAUAUAUUUUUAUAUAAAUUUUACAUUUGCUAAAAUAUUGUAACGCCAAAUGUUGAUUUAUAGAAUUAAUAAAUAUAAAUAACAUCAGCAAAAUUAAAUUUAUUAAAUUAUUAUUUUAUUAUUUUAAUAUAUGGACUAACAUUAUUCAAUAAAUUAAUUAUUUCCAAAAUAAUAUUAGAUAAUUUAAAUUAAUUUUUUAAUAAAAAAAUUAACCAUUUAUUUUGCCAACUAAAAGUUAAUUGACCAAAUAAAAAUCAAUUGAGAUGUUUGAUUACAAAUCAAUGUGGGAUAAGAGAUGUUUUUUUGUGAAAAAUGAAAAUGAAGGAGAAUAGAGCAUAAAAACUAUGACUAUUGUUUUGAAUUGCAACUCAAAUCUUGUUUCCUAAAUAGCAUAAAGAUGCACGAAGAAUUCCAUUAGGUAUUAUGAAAAAAAAAAGUUUUAUAAGUGCCUCAUCUCUACAUUAUGAUGAAUUGAUGAUAAGAAUCAAAUGUCGUGGAAUCCUUUGGCUAUCCACAUUUUCAAACACUUCUUAUAAAGCUAACAGGAGUUGAGUCGCAUUGAUUCAUACCUCUUUUUCCUCCUCUAAAAUUUCUUGUUCCGCCUCUUCAUAGCAGUCUUCCUACCAUUUCCAUCAGUCGUAAUAUGAGCAUAAAUUUACAAAAUAUAUGUUGAGAUGAAGCAGAUGAAAAUAUGUUCUAGUAACAGAAAUCAUCUAACAUUCUUUACCCUACAAGAAACUAACACAAAUUAACUCAGCAGAGACAUAAUGUGGCAAAAAUCAAACAUUUUAUCUUCAUCAGUACACUAAAACAAAUCCAAUGAAACAUGUAGCAAAGUAACUCAAUAUGAUAUGUGAAUUAACCGUCAAUAGUAAAAGAAAGAAAAGACACUAACUCUCACCUAGGCACAGAUGAGUGCCACAUUAAAGAAAUAUUCCUGUUGGGGUCAUGUGUGUAAACAAUAAAGUCAAGGAAAUGGUCUGACUUCUGUUCGAAAUCAAGAUGCUUCUCUACUUGGGAAUCCACUAAGAGCAUCAUUCAAGCCUGGAGCAAUUUCACAAACCAAAUUGAAGUAUCAGAUGUCUCUCAAUCAGAAAAAUGGGAACAAUUGCCAAUACACAGAAUGAUACGGAGAAGAAUGAGUGCAUGAAGCAUUUUUCGGUGUAUACACAAAUACAGAUAGGAUGGAGGCAGGUUGCAUAGCUCUUGCUUGCCUUUAUAUCUUAUAAGCAAGAUUAUGACACCUAGUAUUUGCUUUCCAGCUUGCCUAUGUGGACAAUAUAUAAUGUUUGAGGAUUAAACAUCAUAAAAAGCAAAACUUCAUGCAAUUGAAACUUCAUACAAUAUAAGAAUAUCACCCCUCCGCCUGAUUAGACAAUGCAAUGAAUCAAUGUAACUCAAAUCCAUUCACUAACAAAAAUAGGGGUAUAGUAAUUUACCAAAAGUUAUAGCACUUUCACAAACUCAAACUCACAGUCAUCAAUGGCGAUCUCUCUUUUUGGUCAUUCAUUGUCCAACUCUACUCCAGAAGGUAGCUCGAAUCUAUUCUUCUUAGUUUCAUCAUCUUCAACCUCAUCUCCAGUUUCCAUGGCUGAGUCCUUCGUGUAGUCAACCUUGAAGUCGUAAUCAUCGUUUCCAUCAUGUUCCAUCGCAGAUGGCUGAUUUUCCUUUUUCCGCCUUUUCUUAUCUGCUUUUCUCAUCUUUGUAUUUAGCAUGCCUUCCUCAGCAUAAAGCUUUUCAUUUUGCUUAACAGUAGCAGAUUUCUCCUUUGCAGUAACUUUUCCAUCUUCUUCUCCAGAUGCCAUGGGCUGAUCGUCAUCAUUGCCCUGAGGUGGUUCUUUGUCCUGCGUAUCAUUGAUUAUGGUGAAUAAAUAGUAGUAAUUGCAGAAAUGGAAAUCACUAAUCGGUUACAUGACCAAGAGCUUUCUUGAUCAACCCUUAAUCAUAAUUCAUAAGUCAAUUAGACGCAGAGAUCACGCUGAUCUGGAGUCUAUUGAGGAGAUACACAGGUACACACGAGGCCCUAUCAUAUGAGAUGAACAUCAGAGAGAAAACCAACCUCAAGCAUCACCAUAUCAAAAUUCAAAGGGGAAUUUGAAGGAACUUCAACUGGAUUGAAGUCAUUCACUGAUUUCAAACUGCCUAUAAUAGUUGAUUCGCUGCCAUAAACUUCAUCUAUGUUGAAUUCCUUCCCAAGUUCAGUGACGAUCCUUGCCUCAGAAGGCUCAUCUGCAUUCCUCUUGGGAGGCAUGGUAUAAUACGGAAUUUACCUGCAAUUGUAAGAAAACAAAGUUUAGCAGAGCUUUGCAUUAUAGGCUAAUAAACAUACACAAUAAUUCCAAGAAAAGUUUUUCCACUGAAAGUUUUUGUUAUUUUUUAAUAACUGGCUAAGCAUAUCAUUGCAUCAAAAAUUAAUAAUCAUUCAUUUGAAUAUCACAGUGAAUACAAAAGAUAUGUUUGAAUCAUUCAUGGAUUGUCAUGCUUUAUCUAAAAAACUGACAUUUACAACACAGUUCUAUUCUCAAUCAGAAAGAAAUAAUUCAUCCAAGUAAAUCUCUUGGUUAAUCUGUUGGAUAAUUCUUUGUUAAAACCUCAAAUACACUUUUCCAUUCUCUCAUCCACCUCUUUACCUGAUCAAUAACAACUGCAGGAUUGGCAUCAUAUUGUAUUUAUCAUACCAAGGGGAGUGGAUUCGACGUGUCUAUAAUAGCAAUCUAUUUUGCCUUUUCAGCUGUCACAUAUAUUCCAUCUCCAAAUUUAACAUCAUAAAAAUCGAAAUUUACAUCAUUAAAAUCAGAAAAAAAAAAAAAAAAAAAAGACAAGAACCUAAAUGAUAAUUAAAUUGAUGAAUGGUUCUUAGAAAUCAAGAGAAUUUUUUUUUAUUCACUCACCUGCGGUUCUGGAACCAAACGUGUUUGAGCUCAAUGUUGAAAAGAAUGGGGCAUUCCCUGGUGAGCUGCAGCCGGCGGCGGCGGCGACUGGAGGAGACGAAGCUCGCGGCGACGACUUAGGAUUAUAGAUUUGGGAGUGGGAGAGAGGCGAUGGGAGAGCAAGAGAGGCCGCAUAUAUGGUAGGGCGUCAGAGAAGAGCUGGCAUGCCUCGGAGGCUCCUAUGGUAGAGCGUUAGAUACCAAAUUAGGGCAUUUGCAUUGAUAUGGAGAGAGAAAUUUGCGCCAUAGAUCAAGCGAUGGGGAGAAAAUACCAAAUCAAGGUAUUUGCAGAUUGAUUACUGUGAGAAGCUGAGUUUUUUCGAAGGCGUAAAAGGUAGAAUUUAGAUAAAUCGAAAUAGAGACUUUUGAGAGCGCCACGUAGGAUAGAGAAUUGCUGUGGGCUCUCAAAAAUGUAUUGCUUUAUAGAAUUGAUAGAUAAACAUCCAAAUUGAUAGCAUAGCAAAUUGUAAAACUAUUAGUAUUGGCUCUUUAUUUAUCUUCACUUGACCUGCUUUCCAUAAACAUAUUGAGUUCAUCGGCAAUAUAGAUUUUUACAACUACACAAGUUACCCGUGUAGUCACUGUUACAUAUAUAAUUAACAANNNNNNNNNNNNNNNNNNNNNNNNNNNNNNNNNNNNNNNNNNNNNNNNNNNNNNNNNNNNNNNNNNNNNNNNNNNNNNNNNNNNNNNNNNNNNNNNNNNNNNNNNNNNNNNNNNNNNNNNNNNNNNNNNNNNNNNNNNNNNNNNNNNNNNNNNNNNNNNNNNNNNNNNNNNNNNNNNNNNNNNNNNNNNNNNNNNNNNNNNNNNNNNNNNNNNNNNNNNNNNNNNNNNNNNNNNNNNNNNNNNNNNNNNNNNNNNNNNNNNNNNNNNNNNNNNNNNNNNNNNNNNNNNNNNNNNNNNNNNNNNNNNNNNNNNNNNNNNNNNNNNNNNNNNNNNNNNNNNNNNNNNNNNNNNNNNNNNNNNNNNNNNNNNNNNNNNNNNNNNNNNNNNNNNNNNNNNNNNNNNNNNNNNNNNNNNNNNNNNNNNNNNNNNNNNNNNNNNNNNNNNNNNNNNNNNNNNNNNNNNNNNNNNNNNNNNNNNNNNNNNNNNNNNNNNNNNNNNNNNNNNNNNNNNNNNNNNNNNNNNNNNNNNNNNNNNNNNNNNNNNNNNNNNNNNNNNNNNNNNNNNNNNNNNNNNNNNNNNNNNNNNNNNNNNNNNNNNNNNNNNNNNNNNNNNNNNNNNNNNNNNNNNNNNNNNNNNNNNNNNNNNNNNNNNNNNNNNNNNNNNNNNNNNNNNNNNNNNNNNNNNNNNNNNNNNNNNNNNNNNNNNNNNNNNNNNNNNNNNNNNNNNACCAAUUUUGAGGUGUUAUGUCAAUAUAUGAAAGGAAAGAGUGAAGAACUUGACCCACCUUUUCCAAUUUGGAUCCGUACAACCGAUGAAUGGACGAUGAUGAUGGUAAUAGACGGCUAAUGCACUUGAAGAUGAAAAUCCAAAAUUCAAGCACUAUCUCACCUCCAUCAUCAUAUUUGUAAUUGUAUUUCACAAUCUGAUUUUCGUUUAUGAAAGCUAAAACCGUGGACCGUCCAUUGUUUGUACGUUUAUUCUUUUACCCAAUUAAUUUAUGGGAUCCCCCACUUUAAAGAAAUUUAACAUCAUAAAAAUCGAAAUUUACAUCAUUAAAAUCAGAAAAAAGCAAGAACCUAAAUGAUAAUUAAAUUGAUGAAUGGUUCUUAGAAAUCAAGAGUAAUUUUUUUUUUAUCACUCACCUGCGGUUCUGGAACCAAACGUGUUUGAGUUCAAUGUUGAAAAGAAUGGGGCAUUCCCUGGUGAGCUGCAGCCGGCGGCGGCGGCGACUGGAGGAGACGAAGCUCGCGGCGACGACUUAGGAUUAUAGAUUUGGGAGUGGGAGAGAGGCGAUGGGAGAGCAAGAGAGGCUGCAUAUAUGGUAGGGCGUCAGAGAAGAGCUGGCAUGCCUCGGAGGCUCCUAUGGUAGAGCGUUAGAUACCAAAUUAGGGCAUUUGCAUUGAUAUGGAGAGAGAAAUUUGCGCCAUAGAUCAAGCGAUGGGGAGAAAAAACCAAAUCAAGGUAUUUGCAGAUUGAUUACUGUGAGAAGCUGAGUUUUUUCGAAGGCGUAAAAGGUAGAAUUUAGAUAAAUCGAAAUAGAGACUUUUGAGAGCGCCAGGAUAGAGAAUUGUUGUGGGCUCUCAAAAAUGUAGUAUUGCUUUAUAGAAUUGAUAGAUAUUCAGUGUUCUCCCAAAUGUAGAGCAAGACAAUUUCAUCUUUUUUCUAAGUUUUCUUCAUCGAUCUCUCAAGUUUAGAACAUCAUAAUUUCUUUAAAAUUUUCAACCAUAUUGUUAGUAGGUACGUAAAUGGGUACCUAAAGUGUGAGGAUCGAGGCGAUAUGAAACAAAUCGAGAUUAAGGUUUUAUUUUUAUAUAAGUUCAAAUAUCUAAUUUGUAAUAUAAAUUUGCUUACUAUCCUAUUAAUUAGUUUUAUAAAUAUUAAUGAUGAUUUAUGUUUAGAAUAUGUACACUAACACUAUCAGUAACACUCUAUGCUUCUAAUCAAUAUUAAAAUAAAUUUUUGUAGCUAAUUUCGUAGCUAACUCUUGCCUCCAAUCCGUCGUAAAUAUAAGAUGAUGAAACAAAUUCAAAAUUAAUCAAUUUAUCAAAAUUAAAUAAUGAAUUAGUUUGGGUUAUUUUUAGAGUUCCGUUUGUAAUUCAAAUAAUUACAACAAUAAUACGUUCAUAAUGCGCAAAAUAUAACAGAAGAAUAGGAAUUUUAUUAUACAUGUACAAAAUAAUAUGUAAAUAUAUGACUCACACACAUACACAAACUAAACUAACAUGACAUAUAUAAUUCCAUACUCUUUAAUUAGCACUAAACGACUCUCUAUUGCUUCAAAACCACACAAAUAUAUCAAAUCGUAUAUGGUAUAUAUAAUUUUUAAAUUGGAAUGAGAUAUAUCAUAUAAAUCUAGCAAUUUAAAACUCUUUUUUUCAAAAAAAAAAAAACUCUUUUCAUCACGGGUGGAACUUGACAAUCUAACUUUUACCAUGAUCCGGCCCGUCAAAAAUAUCAAAUUAGGCCCACAAAGAAGUGAUAUACGAUAUAUAUUCUGGUGAAUUGAUCCUAACAAAAUCAGAAGACGAAUAAAAAGAAAAACUUAGUCCAAAGAAAAGCAUCGGUAGUUAGGGCAUGGGAAUGAAGGGGUUUAACGUGAUCGCCGCAUUCGUGGUGGUUUUCUCAUUGCUGAUCGCCGCAUUCGUCGUCUUCUCAUUGCUGUCUUUCGGCGGCCAUGACCAUGGCGAUGGCGAUGCUUCAGAUUUCAAUUCCGAUCCAUCAUUUAAUUUUGAGUUUAAAUCUGGUACAGAAUUUUAUUUGGAUUGCUUAAGGCAUUACGCACGUGUUGAACGUGAAGACUUCUGGCCCGAUAGCCCCAGCGAGGAGGACUUCUUGUCGGAUAUCAACUGGCAGGUUGGCAACGCUUGUAGAUACGGCAUCGAAUCGGUAGAGGACGCUUAUAGGGGUAUUGGUAGGUUGAGCCCUGAUUAUGUAGAAGCCUUGAAUAUUUGGUUCAAGGGUAAUCAAACCUUAACUCAGCUCGAAAUAUGUCGCAUUGAUCCUAAUCGCUGUCCCCAACAUGCUGCCAACUUAUUCAAGUUAUUUUGGGACGGCCAGCUCCCUCGUGAGUGUUUAAUUGAAUAUUAUGAACCUUGAUAAUGAUUACUGCUUUGAACCCUAAAGCUGAUUUAUAUGGGGAUUUCAGUGUAUGUUCUUCGUUUUAUUAUAUAUGCUCUCUACCUGUUGUGAAUGACUUGUAUUUUUUUAUGGAAAUAUGUGUGAUUUAGAAGAGACUCGCUUCAUGAAUAUUUGAAGUUAAUCGUUGUUGGAAAUUAAUAUGGUCCGGAAAUCAAGGAAGUGAAAAAGCAAAGAAUUUCAUAAACAAGAAUCUUAAGAUAAGAACAUGUUUUAUAUGAAUCCUAAACUUAUAAUAUAUGUUAGUAUAUAAAAAAAUUUGAUCUCGGUGAGUACCCUUUGAAUGAUAGAACAACUGGUUUUCUAUUCAAAUUUGAAUAUGUAUAUACCACUAUUCUAUCCUCAAUAAUUAUUGCUUUGACCUGUGUUAAAAUAUGACGACAAGAAUAAUUAUUGCUUUGACCUGUGUUAAAAUAUGACGACAAGAAUAAGUAGGAAAAAAAAAAGUAAUCAAAGUAUUAAAGAAGUAACUAGAUGUGUUGAAGAUGGAAUAUGUCCAGUGGGAGUGUUUAUAGAUUCUCUACUUGUGGUAUACUGUUCAAGUUGAUUAAAACAUAUGCAAACCGGGCAGUCUGUGCCCUGGCUGGUCUAGCAAAAAAUGAAUCAUGCUUUAAUGAUAUCGAAAGAAAGUGUUCUCAGUUCUGCAGGUGGUAGUCUUCUGAUAAUUACAGUUCUGACCUUGAGAGCUUCAACAAGGCCAUCCUCAAGUAUGGAGAAUCAUUAACCUACCUUGUUCUCUUUUAUCUUAUGUGUUUAACUGCAAAAAAAUGGAAGGGGCUGAAGGGAAUCCAAUGUGUGGGGGAGCAUGGCUAAUGGAAUGCUGGCCUGUAGCCUUCACCCUGCUGAUAUUAAGAUAGAUAAGCAUCUGGGAUUUUUACAGUAAGGGGAGCUAUAGCGUGAAGUCUCUCAACUAAAUCUGUGGACGUGUGUAGGCCAAGAUGUGCCUGUUAGCUUUGGUCCUACUUCUCUGCUUGUGGAUUAUGGGUCAGAUUGGAAGCUGCAAACUGUGGUUGAAUCUAAUGGUGAAUGUUUUUUCUCAUCUUAUCCAAUUCUAGGAUUUCUUGAAUAUUUACCUUGUUGUUUUAUGGAGUAGAUAUUAGAAAUAUUUGGAAGAUUUUUGUGUGAAUGAUUUGUUAUGCUAAUGUCUCAUCAAAUCACAGAUUUUAAGUCCCCCUUUUUGUGUUUGAUAUUGUUAGAAAUUAGAAAAUAGACUUCAUCUUUGAGGAUUUCUCAUCCCUUUGUAAUAAUUUCUAAUACCUACCUUUUGAUUGUCUAAUAAAAUAUCUUAUGAGAAGAACAGAAGAGAAAGCUGUUACAUUCACCAGAAGAUCAGCUAUUGGUUGAGAGAUUGUAAAUUAUUUCACUGUAUGUUAUAAAUUCUAUAUUGGCUUUCUUAAUUGGACUUUGUUUAGCUGCACUUGUACAUUUGCUUGUGUAGUUAAAUUCAUUUAUUUUCUGCAGUUGCGGAGACAGAGAUGAAUUCCUCUCCAACGUAGCAUAAAAAUUCUCGAUCCAUUAAAAGUGCUCAGCAGGAAUCACUCUUCGCACAGUUUUGUUUAUAUGCUCUUUGGUUUGGGAACUGUAGUAUACGGGGUAUUUCUGUUAACAAAUACUACUUUGUUCUAUGGAGCUUAUUGGAAAACAGUGUAUUUGUUUUUUAGUCCAUCUUAUCAUUUUUUUCGAUUUCUUACUGAUCUUCAUCUUGUUUAUUUGAUUAGCAAUUUCCGUACUCUGGAUAGAGUUCGUGCGGGAGGUCUGCUGGUGUUGGGAAGAAUCACAACCACUACCAAGAAUGCCAUCAAAUGGCCCAAUCGACCUGUCCACUUGUUUGAUUAACCAGAAACUGCACACGGUUGGUUGCUUUGAGCCUUUGAUAACCAUCUAGAUACUAGACUAGGAGCAAUUUUAACGAAUUUAUCUCUAUCUAUUUAACUUUUUCAUGUCCUGGCAACAAAGCAUUUAAGGAUCUCACUUUGGGUUUUUAGCUUGCCGUCUGCAUUGAUAAAAAGCAUAGGGAGGGUGAAGGACAUUUGGAUGAUGUAGAUGAAUCUAUGGCUACAUAGAUCCUGUUUUGAUUUGAUUUUCUUUCACGUGAUUCUUCUAUUACGUUCUCAUUCACCAUCUUACAAUUAGUAUCCAUUUGACUGCAGGAAGAUCCUCAGAGUCCAUCAGACAUUUCUUCGUCUCACGGAACUUGUAAAGAAGGUUCUGGCAGGAAAGAUCAAGAUCCUCAGAGUCCAGCAGACAUUUCUUCUUCUCAUGGAGCUAGUAAAGAAGGUUCUGGCAGGAAAGAUGAUAGGUAUAAAAGAUAAUUCUAGGAAUUCGUAAUUUAAAGAUUUUUUCUCAUUUCUCAACUUGUGAUAAGUUAUUGAAUAUAUCAAUGUCCAACUGUUUUUGCAGAUUAUGCAACUUGCUUUUGUUGCUUAAAGAUAACGAUCAUCUUAUGAUGUUUCUUUCAUGAAAGUAAUUGAAUAUCUUAUAUUAAUAUGUGCCCUGUAUUUGAAGUUGUUUAAAGAGACCAUUGAUCUAAGAAUAUCCUUCAUAAUUCUCAGAUUGUUGCGUGGUUCAGAAUGCAGUAGCGAGUUAUUCUAGAUAUUUAUAUUUCUGCAUUUGCUAAUAGUUAUCCCUAAAUGUCAGCAAUGAGCAGCUAAUGUACAAAGUGUGAUGCUUCUGAAGUGCACAAGAUUAUGCAUGCUCCAAUCACUCUGGUAACUGGUAAGUUCACUUUCUGCUGCUUUUGUCUCAAACAAAAGUAAAAUAAAUGAAAUGCAUCUCUUUCUUACUUUACUGCAGGAACCACCUACUAUGCCAAAAGACAUGCAUGAAGAACGUCUGAAAGUUGCUGUAGCCUUGGGUGAUUCAUAUGUAAGCAAAGAUAUGAUAUUUUCACUGUCUAAACAUGGCCAUCUUAAUUUCUAGAAAUCGUUGCUCGUCUCCUUAGUGGCAAAUAGUAUUGGGAUCAACCGGUUAGUUGUAAGCAUUUAACUUCAAACUCCAUCCCCACCCAUUAUUUGACCAUUGGAAACUAUUGAUGUUAAUAUAGCCAAGGCUCAAGUUAGAGUUGUCGCUUCCUAGAUAUAGUUUUUCAAUUAAUUUUGUACUCUAGAUAAAAGAGGUUGAUGAUUUUAGAUUUGUAAUCCUUGUUUGAAGAGUUUGAUGCGCAUUUUUCAUGAGAUUGUUAAACUAUGUGUAGUGAUUAUAUUAGAGUUAUAUUGUCUCUUAAAAUGAUUGGAUAACAUUGUUUUUGUUGAGGACUAUAAGCCUUUCCAGACACAAGUUUAAUGUUGCUAUCGUGCUUUUGUAGAGUGUCGAUGGUUCACAUCCGACUACGGAGAAACGGUCGUCACCCAUCAGUUUGCUGUACACUGGAAAGAUAUUGCUAGCCUUUCUUCUCUUAUUCGUCAUUGGUGCAUGGAAAACCUUCCUAAAAUCAUCUUGUACAUCAGCUCUUCAAUAUGACUAGAAACUCAACUCAAAUCUAUAGUUAUUUUUAUUUCUUUAUAUGAUUAUAUUAUGUAUUUAUACUUGUCUUGUCUGGUGUACCAUCUAUGAUAUUUAUUUUUCAUGAGGUUGGAUUGCUCGGUUUGAUGAGAUAAAAGAUCUGGAUGUAUUUGAUGAUUAGAGUUUGUAAAUAAUAAUAUUCGAUUAUGAGACUGUCACUCUACAAGUUGAGCGAUUAAACCAUAAUAGAUGUUUCAAGGGCCGCAUAUCUAUUCUACAAAUAUCGACUAUUCUACAAAUACAUCAAAUAACAGUCUCAGUAUAUAGACGAAAAUUUGAAAAAACUGGAAGAUAAUUAACGAAUCAGUUUCACCAAAACCAUUAAUUUCAUACUAUGUAGACUAUGUGAGGAAUAAACAAGAACACAAGAAAACGAAAACACUAGCAGAUAAUUUUAUUUUUUUUAUGAAGAAAAGAGAAUAUUAUUAAGAACACAAACACGGAGCAUGAAGAUGAAAAUGGGGUUCAUCCCAAACAUUAAGUGUAUGAACAUCUCUUGGAGCUAUGAGCAAUAGCAUUUUGAUUCCUCCUCACGUGAUUAAUGCGAAGUGUGAGCCAACUCUCUUACAAUCCGACUCGAGCCAACCUUGUGAGAAUCCCAUCUCCUUGAGCCAUGAAUGAUACCCAUAAAUUCUCCCUCCUCCACCGUAGGCCUACCUGAUAACUUCACAGAUUUACCAGCACCCUCAUGGUUCCUUCCCUAUCUUGCCAAAGUAUCAUGCAAAAACUGGCAGAUAAUUAAACAACUAGUUUCACCAAAACCAUUAAUUUCAUACUAUGUGAGGAAUAGAUAACAACACAAGAAAAUAAGGAAAGAGACUGCUACUCAGCGUUACAGUUGAAGGCAUUCCAACAAUUCGAAACUAACUAAUAUUUGAAUACAAGCUCAAACUUUAUGAGAACAUGAGAAAUUAAGCGAGAGAAAAAUGUUUCAAAAUUGCGACUUGGGUGCAUUUCAUUAAGAGAAGAGAGCAAGAUAAUAAAAUUCAUAAUUUUAUUUAUUAACCUUUAAAAUCUACAGCAUUGAAACACUAUCCAACUAGAAAAAUAAAAAUAUUCCUAUACUAGUCGUGCACAGUCGACCUUCUGGAACAUAAAUUCCUUUGAUUCAAGAUCAAAGCCGACGCGAAAGAACUGCUGCAUCACAUUCCCUAUAAGACUUUGGCUGCUGCUGUCGAGAUCAACAGCAUCCGAUGGGAGUAUAGCCAGGCAAAAACUGCCGGUGUACCUCUGAUAGAAUACGUUUUCAGGCGAAAGCUCCAUAGUUGCUCCACCCUCAAACGUAAAAUAUACAUUUGGAAAUCUUUGCAAAUCCCUAGUCAAGACACCAUUGUAGCAGAGCAUCUUGUGACCUCUAUAUGCUAAGGAAUAAUUUCUACUUACAGUAGAAUCAACCUUAAUAAGCUUGAUGACUUGAUAUUCAAAUUUGGUGAAGGCCACUCCGGGAAUGUACGUGUAGGUUGAACCUGUAUCCACGAUCAUGCCGCCACUGUAGUAAGUGGAGUUUCUUCUGAAAAUCUGCCACUAAUUUGUUGCCAACUCUGAUGCUUUCCAGAUUGAUAUAGUAUUUGUUUUCAAUAAUGAGUCGAGUUUUAUACUCGAAGACGCCGAUGUCAUCCCCUAUAAUCAAGAAGCUAUAGGGAUACGAUUCAUCACUCACGUUCCCUAUAGUGGCCACUCCGGGAAUGUACGUGUAAUUUUGUGUAUUUAAUUUAAAGCUUCGAUGCUCUUUCCUACGUGAAAUUUUGUGUAUUUACUUUUAUAUCAUCUAUUCACUUUUAUAUACUCCCUCCGUCCACGAAUUAAAGCCCUACUUGCACUUAAAUUUUUGUCCACCAAUUAAAGCUCUAUUGUGCUUUAUGUACCUUUUUACUCUUCUUCUUUUCCUAUAUUUACUACCCUUUGCCACUAAUGGACCCACCUUACAACAACUUUAUCAUUUUUAUAUUCUAUAUUUAUUACACUUUAUCACUAGUGGACCCACCACACAACACCUUUAACACUUUAGUCAACUACUUUAUCACUUUAGUCAACUACCCUUAUAUUUCAUCUACAACACCUUUUUUAGCUUUCUUAGUCUCCGUGCCCACCCUCAAACGGGGCUUUAAUUCGUGGACGGAGGGAGUAUUAAUUUUCUCCCUCUCCCUCAACAUGGAAAUCUCAAUAACAAACAUGAAAAUUUUCAUUAAAUGAUGGAAUUUUAUUAAUUUAUUUUUCUUUUUUAUUCUUAUUUUAAUGCAAUCACGUUUUAUUGUUUCUUUAAUACAUUAUAAGUAAAUUAUUGACCAUUAAUCUUGUUAACAUUCAAUAUUAGUAAUUUUCCCCCGAAAUUGGGGGGUUUUGCGUUGUGGACAAAUUCGGGCCGGCCCACACAUAUUUUCGAUCAAGCAAGUACGAACCUGCGGCCCAAAUAAUGUCAUGGCUCAUCAGCCUGAUCCAAAAUCGUGAUUUUGUUCAAUCAAAUCAAAUUAAAUUGUAUACUAAAAUUUUCUAUACAACUAUAUAUAAUAUAUGAUUUGCCAAUUUGGUAAUAUAUUGAUCAAUUUAUUAUCUCGAAAUAAUAUUUAUAGUUUCGUUUAAUUUUUAAACUAAAAUAAGAAUUAGAUCUGAGAAAUGAUAUAACAAUAUAUCAUCGACCGCUACAUUAAAAAUAUAUUUACUUUGCAUGACCGAUAAAAUGAAUGAUUAGAUAUUUUUAUCCUCAAAAAAAUCUUACUAUUUUAAUGGAAUACGAAUCAAACAAAACUAGCUUAAAUGAUAAAAGUAAUCAAUGCAUGCAUGGCCUUGAGAUAUCUUAAAGUUCUAAUUCAUUAAAGUAAACAAGGGAUUAAUCUUACUAUUUUUAUCUAUCAAGACUAAUCCUUCAAAAUAAAUGCCCCUAAAAAAAGAAUUAGACCCUAGAAAUACUAUAGCAAUAUAUUAAUUCAAUUAAAUAUGCAUUAAAAAUCUAUCUUUGAUUUUAUAUUAAUCUCUUUAACUUGUACAAUCACAUAAGCUAAAUCUAGCCUACUAUGAUUUCAACUACACUCGCAUUCCAAGAGGUAUUCACAAUCUAACCUAUUUGACACCUUAAACUUUUUGAAAAUCAACAUCCACUAGCUAGUACUCGUCGGAAUAGUUUUAAUUUCUUGAAAAAAAUCACCAAAUUGUAAAACAAAAUCAACUAGAGAACUAAUACUCGUUCUAAUGUUUAAAAAUACUUAUAUAAAUUAAGUUCGCAUUAAUGUCCUAAUCAAAACAAUAAUUGGCAUAAAAAUCGUCGAAAUGCAUGCAAAAUAGAUAAAUAAAUAAAGAAUUUUCGUUCAACUCGAUGAUAAAAAAUAAAUAAAUUAGUCUAGCUGUUUAUCAAACGGAACAGCUAAUUAAAGCAAUGCUUAAUCAUCGAUAAGCAAUCCAACGUAACAAUUAAUCCCAAUAUUAUACGUAACUCAUUUUCGUAAAUUACAAACACAAUUCUUCUUGGCCUUUUCAGUUUACUCUGAAAACUUCACCAACUUAGAUUGACAACUUAACAAGAGACAAACUUAAUAAAUUCAUUUAAUUAUGUUUUAAAAGGCCUUAAUUCAUUCUAAUAUGGUUUGAUGAGUUAGGAAGGAGAUGGCCGCCCUCAGCUGCAUAGGGUGGUGGUUGGCUUGUUUCACGGCGUUGUGCACGGUGGUGGUCGGAGAUGAAAUCUUCUUAGAGUGGCGCGUUAAAAUAGACGAGACCAUCAAUCCAGUAUCAAAUGAUCAACCGGUAUGUGUGCGUGUGUUGGACAAGCGGUAAAGAGUUAAUGCCUAAGUCUAAAGGUCUUGGAUUCGAGUCCCCCUAUGACGCGACAUUUAAAUUUCUUUAUUUAAUACUGUUAAUUUAUAUUUAAAAAAAUGGAUCAACUGUUAUAUAUAUGAUUUAUUAAUUUGAAUGUUGUGUAUUUGUUUUGUAAGUAGUGAUGAUUUAAUUAAUUUAGUUUCUUAUUUUGAAUAUGGAGAAGAAUAACCAUUUUAUGUUGUUAAUUUACAAGGUUAUCACCAUAAAUGAUUUAUUUCCUGGUCCUCUUAUAAAUGCAUCGACCAACGAUAAUGUGCAUAUCAAUGUGUUCAAUGAUAUGGAUGAGCCUCUUCUCAUGACAUGGUAUGAUCUCUUAAUCAUAUAUUUAAUAUUGUAUAAAUAUUAUUUAGGACCCAUUGAUAUCACUUAGAGAGUGAUUUUUUCUAAUUCUCUUUUUUAAAAUGAUUUGAAAUUGCAGGAAUGGAAUUCAACAAAGGCUAAAUUCUUGGCAAGAUGGGGUUUCGGGCUCCAAUUGCCCGAUCCGGCCCGGUACCAAUUGGACUUACGUUUUCCAAAUGAAGGAUCAAAUAGGCAGCUUCUACUACUUUCCUUCACUCAAUUUUCAGCGGGCCGCUGGAGGAUUCGGCCCGAUCCGGAUCAACAAUCGGAUCAUCAUAAAUGUGCCAUUCCCAAAGCCCGAACAAGAGUUCGAUCUUCUUGUUGGCGAUUGGUAUUAUGAAAAUUUCACGGUAUUAUUUGAAUUUCAUCUAUAUCCCAUCACCAAUAAUACCUCAUUAAUCCUUACUUUUUAUCAAUAUUUUUUUUUAUUAUUGAAUUCAAUUCGGUUUGAUUUUCAUAUUACUUUUGAUCAAACUCCACAGGUUGUUAGGGCCACAGGCGGCGUGGGCCAUUUUCCAGAUCGAAUGCUUAUGAAUGGCAAAGGCCCAUUUAAGACCCAACUCUAAAGCCCACGAGUCUUUUAAUGUAACCCAGGUGAGUCUAUGCUUGCUAAAUUCAUUUUUCAUAAAUUUAUUAAUUUCAAAUUCUUUGAAAACCUACGAUUACAAAAUGUGUUUUGUCUAAAGGGGGGGGGAAAUUAAAGACAACAAGCCGUAAUUAUAAUGUCUCUUAAACACCUAAUACAAACAAUGUAUAAUUCAUAACUAAUAUUUUCAUUAUGUUUCGAUUAGGAAAAACUACAGAUUCAGAAUCACAAACGUGGGCAAUUUGGAGCAUCAAUUUUAGGAUUCAGAGUCACACAAUGCUAUUGGUCGAGACGGAAGGAUCGUACACCAAUCAGACGUUGUUAAGCUCGCUCGACGUCCACGUGGGCCAGUCCUACUCUGUGCUCGUCACAGCGGAUCAAGCCCCGUCAGACUACUAUGUCGUAGCAACUCCUAAAAUAGGAGGGAAUAAUUCUAUUGCAGCUGUUGGGUUGUUGCAUUAUGACAAGUCCACCACAACUCCUAAUGGGCCGCUGCCAAUUGGGCCUGACCCAAAUGAUAUCAAUUUCUCCAUCAAUCAAGCUAGAUCCAUCACGUAAGCCCAAUUAAAUAAUGCUCAAUGGUUUUAUAUUCAAUUGCAUUAUAAAGAAUUACUCCCUCGAUCCCAGUGAAUGUGAAGCGAUUCUUUUGAGCACGAGAUUUAAUGAGCUAGUAUUUAGUGAAAAAGUUAAAAUAAAAAAAUGAAAGUAGUUUUAGUUUAUUUCAAAAAAGAAAUGACUCAACUCCGUUGGGACAGUCGAAAAAGAAUAUGACUCAACUUCGUUGGAACCGAGGGAGUAGAUUUUUAGGGAAUUUUGUCCCUGGCUCAAAUGAUGUUUCGUUGUUGAAAUUGAUUCUUUUCAUGCUAAAAACAAAUUGAAAUGCUGAAUUUUAUAUUUUAUUCAUUUCCCCCCAUAUAUGUAGGAUGAAUAUGACAACCGGUGCUGCAAGACCUAACCCUCAAAGCUCAUUUAAUGUGACAAACGUGACACUAUCACAAACUUUUAUUCUUAAUGGAAAAAUCGCCAUACUCGAUGGAGUCACUCGUUACACCAUCAACAAUGUGACAUACAUAACUCCAUCUACUCCGCUCAAGUUAGCCGAUCAAUUUCUCAAUGGCUCCGGCGUCUACGAGCUCGACAAAUAUCCCGUCCACUCAGGGCUCCCCGCCCCCGUGAACGGGACAUUUGUCGUGUCGGGGUUGCAUAAGGGAUGGCUAGAGAUCGUAUUUGUAAAUGAUGGAGAUAAGUAUGACUCUUGGCAUUUGGAUGGCUAUGGGUUUUUCGUGGUCGGGUAAGUUAUUUUCAAUUAAUUAAUUAAACUUUCUUAUGGAGAUCGCUAUAGAGUCAUCGUUAAAUAAAUAGGGCAUACUAAAUCAUCGCUCAAUUAGGAUCAAUUCAUUCCCUAUAAGCGAAAAUAUCCACUCGGUCGAGACAUUUUCUCUUCUAAGGAUUAAAUCGUUUUUCAUAAUAACUAUGACUUUUUUGAUGACUAUUUACCACCAUGUUCUUGUCUUGUUGGCCUAGGGCAAUGGACGCCCGAGGCACGUUCUACGAUGUACAAUCUGUAUGAUCCGAUCGUACGUUCAACUGUUCAGGUAUAUAUAUAGUUUUUUAAAUAUAAAUUAUACACACGAUAAAAAUUCAACGUAUGUGCACAACAUUAACAACAUGAUAUUGAUUAGGUUUAUCCCGGUGGAUGGACGGCAGUGUAUGUAUAUUUGGACAAUCCAGGAAUGUGGAAUUUAAGGUCACAAAACCUUAAACGUUGGUAUUUAGGUCAAGAACUCUAUAUUAGGGUUUAUGAUCCUGAUCCUAACCCUGCAAAAGAGAGACCACCUCCUUCCAACCUCUUAUUUUGUGGUAAUUUACCAACUUUUACUGCAUUUUUUUGUUUAAUUACCAACGUGUGACUCAUGUAAAAGUUAUGAAUUAAAAUAUUAAUUAAUCUGUAACAAAAUUAAAUACAAAUUGUUGAUAUUAUAGUAUAUCAUAUUACACUAUAUAAUCAAAUUAUGUAAAAUAAAAUUAUUUUAUUUUUUUCUUAUUUGUUUUAUGCAAAAUAAAAUUUUAACCUUAUAUUAAUUGUGUUAUAUAUAUAUAUAUUAGGAGCCGUUUCAGCGCCUCCACCUCCAUCUCUACCCACUACACCGCCGCCGUCUAUCCCAGUUUCGGCUCCACCGCCGCCAGCUUCAGCUGCUGCGAAGACAUCGCACAUAGGCUGGUAAUUUUUACUUACGAUUAUAUUACUCAACUAUUUUAUGUUACAUAUUUAGUUGUGUGGAUUUCAUUACUGAAAAAGUAAUAUAUACUAAAAUUUCACGUGAAAUGGUUUGAAGGAUCUUAAUUUUUAGACGAUACCUAUGUAAUAAUAUGGAUAUUUUGGCCCAUCACCUUACUACAUUUUUGUGAUUAAAAAAAAUGUAAAUCUUUAUAACUUAAUAUUGUGCUAGUUCUGUUAUUCCUAAUUUAUUUUUCUGGAUCAUAUUCUUAUUUGUUGCAGGUUGUAUAUUGUAAUGAGCUGCAUUCUUGCAGCCAUCUGAAGUGAGUGGAUGCUUAUUACUCCAGUUUCGGGUGGAAAUUAGUAUUGAAUGUUAAUAAGAUUAAUGGUCUAUCAUUUAUUUAUAAACAAGAAAUUGUUUUUUUACUGUUAUAAACUUACAGUGACUAUUUAAAAUACAUAAUCGCACAAGUCAACAAGUUAACAACUAUAUAAGGAAAAAAAAAUGAGGCAAGCACUACUAGACUACUACUAGUAUAUAUAUUUUCGGAGUUAGUAUGAUAUGUAGUAUUAAAGUUACAACAAAACGUGAUUGCAUUAAACAAUAAAACAAACUAAAUAAUUCAAAGAAUUCAAUUUCCAUUUCACAAAGUUAUCAACAUUGUCAUGACUAGCUACUAAGCUAAAAGAACCAAUAUAUUACAACAACAACAAUAAUAAAAAAAAAAAAACAAUUAAGAAGGGGAAAAGAUAUUUUUCAGAAAAAGAAAGAAAACAAUUUAGAAGAAAUUAAUGAUUAUCUAAUUAGCUUUGCAUUUGGAAGAUCAAUGUGUCAAAAAUAAUUGAACCUCCUCAAUUAAAUUUCAAUAAUGGCAGUCAACCAAUGCCGGAGCUGCGGUGGAGAUCACCAUCUUCUCCGGGCUCUUCUCCCGCCGCGCACUGCCGCCGCCGUAUCCGAACCGCUGGCUCUCAUCUUCCGGCGCCGGAAAGUUGAGAUCCAGCGACAGGCCGUUCCUCGGCUUCUUCGGCUCCGGCAGCGGGCUGGCCGGGCCGGCCCGGUGCCGCCUCAUGUGGCCGCCGAGGGCCUGCCCGGAGGCGAACUCCGCCCCGCAAUACGAGCACUCGUGGACCCUCGGCGAGGGCAGCUGCCUUCCUCCACCGCCGGCGGUGCUGCUCAGCUGCAACGAGAGGGAAGGUGGGAUUCUUUUCUUCGACGUAGACGGAGGCGACGGGAAAUCGUCGUCGAAGUUGGGGAACGACGCCGUUUUCUUGUCGUUUUUGGGCUUCUUGUGGCUCGUGCGGUGGCCGCCGAGGGCUUGGAACGACGAGAAAACCCGGUUGCACGUCUUGCAUGCGUACAUGCCGCCUCCGCCGGCGGCGGCGGCGCCACCGCGAUCGGCGGUGGGUUUGGUUUGUUUGGAAUGGUAUUGUUGAGGAUGAUCGUGGUGGGAUUUUUGAAUGGGGAGAAAAUGGCCGCGGGAGAGGAGGAUCAAGCAUCGGGCGGUGUCCUCCUCCUCCGUGGUGGUGCUGUCCGCCGCGGAGGCGGCGGAGAAGCUGGGACUAAGGCGGUGGUUGUUGACGGUGAAGGGAAUAGGUGAAUGAGGUCUCUGUCUCUUGGUGCGCUUGCCUUUGGCGACCGGGGACAGGUCAUUAUUGUGGCACGGCGGCGCCACCACCACUUCCUCCUCCACAGUCUCCAUUUGCCUCCGCCACCAUCACCGUGAUGGGAACUGCUAUGGCACUUGUUGGUGUUUAACUUUUGUAGAGUGGGAGAGAGAAGAGAGAGAGGGGGGGAGGAGAGAGGAGGGAGGGAGAAAUGGGGAGAGAGAGAGAGAGAGAGGAGAGAGAGGUGGAGGUUUGAAGGAGAUUAGGGGGACACUAGUGUGGGGUGGUGAUUGUAUGCAUAUAUUAGUUAGUGAUUAGUUUGUAUGAAAGCCUUUAUCUAUUUAUCUCCUAUUAAAAGGCAAAUUGGAUUGAAGGAGUAGAAAGCUUUGCAAAUAUCGAAUAACUAAUUUUGUGUCCAAGACUAAUUUUUUAACUGUUUAGCCUAUACAAGUCAAAGAUCACUUUAAGUUCGUUUGUUUGUUUGUUUUCUUUUGGUAAACUUAAAAAAAACGUUUUUGAGGUGUACUUUAUUUCCUUUGGCAUUUUCUUUUGCAUGUAUAAUAUAUUUUAAUAUUGAGAUUACAAAUGGAAAGAAGAAAAUUUUACAUUUUGACCAAUUAAAGAAUAAACAAUAAUGGGUCAUGUUUUUCUUUUCUUUUUUAGUUAAUUAGGGAGGUCUUUUAAAAGAUUGACCAAAAGUAGACAUUUUUCUCUAAGUAAGCUUAGUAGAGAACACAAUUUUGUGACUAAAAUGUAAAUAUUUUGAGUUUUGUAAUGUGAUUUGAGUUGGGCUACCUAGAACGUGUUUAUAAGUGGCAGUUACAAAUAGCUAAGAAAUAAAUUUAAGUUUAAAGAUAAAUUAUAAAUCCAGAUAUAUUUUAAUCGAUGUUUAUCGAGCUAAGUCAAGAUAGAUGGAAGGCAAGUUAUUGGCAUGAACCCUAAAUAAUUGAAUUUGAUAAUUGUGUGUUGCACGUAUAGGGGAAUAUUAUCUUGUUUGUGAUGUACCAAAUUUGUAAAAUUGGAUUGCUUCACUGGGCUCCCAAUAAAGUUCUAAACAAGCCUUCGCACGUAUAUAAAUCAAAAUCAUCAGUUUACUUUUCACUUCAGCUAAUUCAACAUAAGUAAAUAAAAACCAAUCUCAUGCUCAGUAGUAAAAGGUUGCAUAUUCUCAUAUCAUACUAAAGGAAGCAUCUAUUAUCCAAAUUUUACAGUAGGAGUUAGCAGCUUCAUGUUAAAAGAAACAACAUAUGAGAUGACAACAACAAAAGUCAGCACAACAUAAUUCUUACCUACAAACAUCGUUCACUCACUACGAUCUACGCAUUUUAACAUUCAAAGGGAUCUCCUUGUAGGUUUGAACCUUCCUCGCAGCCACACGAGAUGGCCUUCCUAAAGAUGGUUUUCCAGACCCUUGUGAUUCACAGCUCCGACCAGAACAGCUUCUGCCAUCUUCAUUCUUAACCGAUGUGUCCACAGAAGUCGAGCCAUUCUCUGGGACGGGUGAAGAACAGUUGGCAGAUAUGGCAUUGUCCAUCUCCGACAGAUCAUCUGCCUGUUUUGGUCUUUUGGCCUUAAACUUAGGGAUUGCCUCCUCGCAGAGGGUCUGAAAUGGAAGCAGUCAAGAAAUCAAUCGAUGAAAAAUUCAUGGAGAUAUUUGAAAUAUGUGUAACAGAGAAUAUCACCUUUGUACAGCAUGGCCUUCAUUAAUAACCGACGUUUCAACAGAAGUUGAGCCAUUCUCCUGGAUUGUUUCAUCAGGAAUUGGACAUGGUGUGACGGCCUUAAACCUAGCGGAUUGCCUCCUGACAGAGGGUCUGGCAUGGAAAUACACGAGACAUCAAUCAAAGAAAAUCUCACUGAAUAUCAAGAAAGAAUUUGGGUGUGAUUCAUUUAUUGCUUGCAUAACAAAUCAUCACCUAUUAGCAACAUGGUCUUCAUUGUUAGCCAAGCAUCCACAGAAGUUGAUGGGGAUGUUCCAUCAGGAAGCGGACAUUUGGGAAUUUUGGAAUCAUACAUUUCAGACAAACUAUCGUCAUCUGGUUCGACAGCCUUGAACCUAGCAGAUUGCCUCCUCGUGGGAAGUCUGGCAUGAAAAUCCAAGAAAGGUCAACCAAAGAAAAUCAUUAGGCUAUUUAUUUAUGUAAUAUUUGUGUAAUAGACUAAUAGAUCACCUAUUUCCAGCAUUAUCCUUGGACUGCGACUGUUCAGAAGAGCCCAGACCUGUAAAUAACCCAAAGGAAAAAGACUUGAAUUAUCCUCUAAAAGACCAUAAAAAAGAAGAUAAUUCCUAAAUGAUACUCACUCAGUGAUCGCAGUCUCUUUUUGGCAUUACGAGGCUUUUUAUGAUCUUUUGAGGGAUCUUCUUCAAUCAGAUUCACCUUUUGAAGGUUGAAACAGCCAUAUUAAAUGUCAAAAGUUUAAAAAGAGAAAAGCUCAAGGACAAGUUUUAACAACUGCAAAGCACUUGUUGUGGUCAACAUACGAACAAUAGAAGGAACAAAAGUAAAUUGUUCAAGGUGCAUUUACUUCAGCAUUUGCAUGUUAAACAUUUUGUGAGAAUUGUGCUUAUAGCAUGUUUAGUUACACAGACCUCAAGUUUGGAAUUCCUUGCUUUAAGCAAACCAUUUUUGCAUCCAAGCUCGUGUUGCAAGGUUUUCAACUGAGAAGAAAAGGACAUUAAGAAGCAUGUUAGCUCACACAGCGGGACAGAUUAUAUAUGGAAUCAAACCAUAAACCCAAAAGAGUUACUCAUGAGGUGUCAUUUAACUUAGUAACUUACCCUGUCUUUACCUGAAUUUAGUUCCUGAAAAUUUGACAGAGAAAUGAAAAGGUCAACCAAAUGCAUAAAAAACUAAGCACACUUCAAAGUACAAGGAGGCACAAACCGCAAGCAUAAGGGUGUGCGACAGAGCUAGUUGCUGAUUCUGUUCCCGCAUUUUAAUCAAAUUUGACCUCAAUCUUUCUAGUUCAAUUCCACUCUGUUCAAUUAUUUUGAUUUAUCAAAAAGAAUGUCAAGGAAUUUAAUAGUUUCAUCAGAAGCCAACAAUCUGCAGCAAAGCAAAAACGAUCCAACAUAAGGAACACAAUAACUAAUGCAUAUCCAAAGAGGAUACUUUCUCUGCGCCAACAUCUUCGCCAAAGCCAAAUUUUCCUGAAUCAAUAAUCACAAUCAAGAACCAAAUAAUAAGUCCAUGUAUCAACAUGAUAAGAAGACACAUUAAUGAAUGUUUACCUUCUGGAGCUGCUCAAUAUACUCUUUAGUAGUUGUAGGAAUCGACUGAGACUUCUGGUCUUGAAUCAACAGCCUACCCUGAGGCAAGUUGCUAAUGUCAGCCAGCUUCCGCCUGGCCAAAUUCUGAGGGCACAGCCUAGCUGCUUUCUCGUCUUUAUCUAGAGUUCAACAAAGAUUUCAAAUGCAAAUAAGCAACCUCCAUUGUUAGAACUAACUAGCUAGCUUCUAGUGACAGACUAUCCCCGUAAUCCAAAUUAAAGAAGGAGCCCCAAUUCAGUUGAACAUUCAGCUAUUGAAACAAACUGGAAUUGAGUUUCGUUAGCUACAUUAUAACCGGUCAAUUUUUGAAAAUUCUAUCCAAAAUGAUGAAGUAAGCCUAGAAUUAUGAAGGUGUAUAAUUUAAAAAAAUUGCGCCUUUUCUCUGCUCAAAUAAAACAUAUCACAUUUUCGCCGAAUUGAACAGCUAACAUAAAAUCAACUAAAGAAACCCUAAAAUCAGAAGUUGAAGUAAAAUGAGACUCACUAUAACAUCCAAUUGCAGCAGCAUUCUGCGUGUCAAGAUUCAGAAAACCAUCCCUCUCCGACAUCGUUGUUGCUUCCCGACUCUCUCACUACACGGUUCUCUCUCUCUAUCUGUACAGCGCUUUAGGCCUAAUUAGUCAUCGCUCUUCAUCUCUCACUCUGGUGGGGUGGGGGUAGGGUGGGGGGUGCCUGGAUUUGAAAUGAGGUAAGGAAAUAAAAAUAAGAGGGAAGGAGGCUAGGACAUGGCGAACGGCAUUCCGGAGCAAAUCCCGAGCCUACUUCGAUUUGAAAAACUUGAAAGACGAAUUUAUGACUAAUGGGCCCGAAUCUAUGACUAAUGGGCCCACUCCUUUUUGGGCUAAUAUAUAUCAUUAAUGGGCCCGAAUAUAUUUUGCAUGUUUUACGAAGCCCAUUACCCAACAUUAUAAAUGCGAAUAAUAACCCACGUGAUAAAGUAUAUGUCCCAACAAAGAAUUUCAAACAGAUAAUAAUAAUAAAAGCAUAUAAAUUUGACAAACGAGCAAAAUAAGUCUUAAAAACAACUAUAACUAAAAUAGAAAAAUAACUUCCCUUGCUUUCGGCUGUUAUAUGACUUAUCCAUUUAUUUUUACAAAUUUUCUAUUUUGUUUUGGUAGACAAGACAAAUAUGGUGGCUACAUGAAUUUAUUUAUAUAUGAUCAAGUUGAUGCUUUAAUUUGUGAUUUGGACAACCUUAAAAAACUUAUUUUCCUUUUUCUUGCAUGAUCAUAUUUCACUUUCAGCCGUUAACUUUUCCCAUGUCAUCUUUAUGUGUCUCGAGGCAAUGCAUAAACAUAAAAGAAUAAUUGGAAAGAAACUAAAACACGUAGAUUUACCAUUAUCUUGUGACUAUGUAUGUUCAUUGUGUAAUUUUCGAAUUUUUCCUUUCCUUCUAGUAUACGGUUUGCUUCUUAUGUAUAAAAUGAAAGUAUUUAGACUUAUUUAGCUAAUUCUACUAUUUUUUCUUGGGUUAAUUACCCUUUAUGCUUUUGAUCUUCAUACCGAAUUACAAAAAUCAUCUUACUUUUAAAAUAUGAAGAAAAAAAUACAAAUAUGACACGAAGAUAAAAUUUUCGACUUCAAAAAGAUGAGCUGGACUGCUGAAGUUUGUCUUGUAUAUGUCAUAUUUGUAAUGAUAAAUCUCAUCUUUUCGAGCUCGAAAUGCAUAGUUUUUUUAAAGGUUGAUAUUUGCAACAUGUCCAAAAAUUAGAUCGUUAAGUGUAAUUAACUUUUUAAUUUUUAUUUUAAAAAUAUAUAUGAACUAUAGAUUUCAUAGAAAAACUCUUGCGAUCCAAUGCAUGAAAAAAAGUUCUAAAUAAAGUGUUUAAUAGAUCAAAUUGAAAUAUUCUUGUGAGUUGGAGUUUUAUACUUUUUUUCUUUCUUUGAUAAUACUUUUUUUUUCUUUUAGAGCUGAUUCUUAUUUGGUGUGAAUGUGAUAAAGUAUUUUUGUCUACUUGAUCCAAAAUCCGUGAUAAUUAUAUUCCGCAAUAUUUGAAAAAAGAAAUAUACAAAUAGUUUUUAUUGCAACUUGCAUGCUAAAGAUAUUGAGAAAAGGAAUAAAGGGAUAAAUUUUUUUGCUCAUAAAUUGCUCUUUUCUUUCUUCUAUUCUCAUUAGGUAACUAGCAAAAACAUCAUGUUUUUUGCGAUUUGAUUGACUUUACAUAAUUUAAUCGUAUAAUAUUUAAAUUUCCGUUGUAUAAAUGCGAAACCGUGGCGUGAAUAUUUACUUAUUGGGAGAAACAUAGUUCAUUGUUCAUGCAGAGCACGUGCCAAUAUGGAGGAAACAAAUUAAUGUCGAAACCUAUUAAUACCCGAAAAAUAUUCAACUCUGAUUUUUCAUUUAAUUUCAUUGCGUACUACGUAAUUGAAAUUAAAAUUCAAUAAAGAAUAAAGAUAAGAUGAUCUGAUACCCUUUUUAAGAAUAAUGAAAAACUAGCUUUUUUCACAAAGUAAACAUUGAUUCAUCUUUUUGAAUAGAAUCUCUCUGAAUUAAGACUACACGUUAGUGAUGACAAUAUUAAUUUCACCAAUAUUAUCUUCCGCACAAAGCUAACUUAUUUAUAAUUAAUUUAAUUUCUAAAGUCUAAAACAUCAUAAAGAAAACUCUGAAAUCAGCAAACUAGAGCUCUAUAUUUAUUAGAAAUAGAUAUUCAAUGAAAAAAAAAACUAGUAAAUACAAUUAGCUUCUUCUUUUUCUUUUCUUUUUUUCUGAAAAGAAAUUUAAUUAGCUUUUUGAGCAUGUGAUAACAUGCAUAAAUGUUUGCCAAAAAUCCUAAAAUUCCAAUGCAUGCAUGGUAACAUGAAUCUCCAUAACUGUAAAGUCUUAAAAAUUCCUUUUUUCAUAACUUUUUUAGAUCUUAGCCAGUUUAGAAAAGGGGGAACGUGCUAGCGUGGAUGAAUUUGAAUAUGUUACGAUUUCAGAUAUAAUCUGAAUUAUUUCGUGUUUUAUUAUAUAUUUUUAUAAAUCAUAUACUAAAAAUACAUAUAAAUGAGAAGAAAUAUUACAUGAAUUUAGUUGAACGAUUCGAUGGUGAUAUGAACUUCAAUUUAUUUGUAAAUUAAUUGGUUGGGAUUUGAGAUUUUUGGGCCCACUUGCAUAUAUACAUUAAUAUACACAUAUUUGAUUUCUUGAACCAAUCUAUAUAAUAUAUAAAACACCAAUUUUUUUGGCGCCAUUUUUGGCAGUUUCAGAAAAUCCAUUUUUUUCGGCAAAUCAUAUUCUCUCUUCAACUCCUUUUAAUUCAUUCUUCUUCUUCUUCUUCUUCUUCUAUAUUCCAGUAUCUCUCUCAACACUUCCAUCCACCACGCUGCCGCAGCCGCUAACCCCCACCUCCCAAUAAGCCGUCAACAUAAACCCUAAACCCAACCAUGAAUUCCAACAAAAAUAAUAUUCACAUCUUUCAUCCAUCAACCGAAGAAAGUGAUUAAAAAAAGAUUUAGAAAGAAAAAUAAAAAUAGAGAUCCAAUUGAAGGAAACGAGUGAAAGAUAAUAAUCUGAGUUUUUUUUUGUCAAAAAAAAGAAAACAGUAUUGAUAUUUUACCUAAAGAUCUCUUCUUCAAUCUGAAUUUUUUCCCCCUCUAUUUCUUCAUUUAGAGGAAAAAUGCAAACUUAAAAUCCAAAUAAAAUUGUUCGUCAGCAUAUUAUAUUAUAAUAAAAAUUAUUAGUAUAUUAUUUAUUACGAUAAAUGCUAUUAUUAUUAUUAUAAUAUAUAGAGAUAAAGAAAUAGAGAGAAGGUUGGGAUUAAUUAGCCGUCAGUCUUUGAAAUUAUAUAUUUCUCGCUGUCUGUAUUAUAAAUUUUAUAUAUUUGUAUCUACUAGCAAUUUAUUUUGUCACUAUAUGUCAUCUAAUAUAAUCAUACAAUAUUAAUUUCGGGUAAAGACUACAAAAUUCAAGAGAAAUAUAAAACUAGUAAAGACUAUACGAUUGUAUUUCGAAAGAUGGUAAGUGAGCACAGCUAAUUUGUCGAUUCAAUAUUAUGUUAUUAGUAAAACAAGAACAUUCAGGAAUAUUGAAAUGAUAAGUUUAAGACAAUAAAAUAAUAAAUGAAAUUAAAAAUCUCCCUCGGCAUGGCAAGCAAGAUAAGAAUGUGAAGUGCCUUCUGCAAGCAAAGAAAAAGAUAAAUACUAACAAAUAAUCUUUCUAAUUCCUCUUUCUUUCUUAUGCGCCAAACAAGUGAAGAGUUUCAAUAUAAAUAAUUCACCAAUAAUGCAAAGCCAAAUUCAAAUAUUUAAUAUUGAAAGAGAAUAUAAGUACCAAACAAUUUAUUCUCCAAGACUUGCCUAUAUUUCUUGUCUUUGAGGGUUUAAAGUGUCCAACUGCUAAUUUCUUCAAGGUUAAAACUGCUCAAAUACUUUCUUGAAGGCAAUGCAAAAUCCAAUUUUUCCUAGAAAAGAAUUAAAGGAUAAUAGCACCUCCAAAAACCCCACCAAGAAAGCAACAAAUAUUUCAUUUCAAAAAUCUCCACAAUUUCCACUACACUAUUUCAAAAAAUAAAAAAUGAUACCCUGCAUCAUUAUAGAUGAUAAACACAUUGAUUUAUUUAUAUAAAUGAUGACACAAUUUCCCAAAUUCCCUAUCUAAGGAAGCAAGAAAUCUCUUCCUUGGAGAGUCUCUUUCACAAGAAACCCAAUAACACAUCAUAUACUCUUCCUCUCUCCCUCCCUCCAUUCUUUAAUUUCUGACAAAGAAUGCUUCCUCAAUUCUGCAUUCUCUUGUUUUGCAUCUUCUUCCUCUCUCUCUCUUCAUUUAUCUCAUCCUACAAUCUCUCUCUCCCCCACCAACACCCUGACCCUGAAGCUGUUGUUCAGCAUGUGCAGAGGUAUAUACGUAGAUAGAUACACGUUGUUGUGUGCAUUGAUGGAAAGGCACUGAGCUCAGAUUCCCCCACCUGGGUUCUGCUUAAAAUUGGAACUUUUUAUCUGGGCUUUCAUCUUCUGGAGUUUUUAGGAGCUGGGUUUUUCUUGAUUUUGAUGGGAUUUAGCAUUCUGUUCAAGAACUCUUCAUCUGGCAUUUUUUGCUGCUGUCUCUCAACAUUCAUGUCUCUGUUUUUUUUUUGUUAUGCAUAUGUGUUUUGAGAUGUUCUUUGUUUCUUUUUGCUGUUAACAUUGUUCAUGAAGUUAAGGGUGUUCAGUAAAUUUAAUUUUGAUCAUUGUAAUUGUACCUUUAUCUGGAAUUGGCCCUAAUUUUGGAUUUCUGACAUUGCCCUUUUAUCUACCAUGUGUUCUUCCCCUGUUUAGUCAUUGUGUGUUGUGUGUGUGUUUUCUGACAUUAAAUAUCUCAUGUGGGUCUAGUCUAGCUAUUUACCUCUGCUUUUCCUCAUUUACUUUUAUCAUUUUCUCAGCUUUGAAGUUUCCAAAAUUUGUAAAAAGCACAUUUCUUCAAUCUUUGCUACUCUUCUUGUAUUGCAGGAGUGUUAAUGCCUCAUUUUCAAGAAGGCAUGAGCUCCUCUCCGCCCCAAUCCCAACCGGCAUUGCCCAAUGCCUCACCGGAAACCCCAUCGACGACUGCUGGCGCUGCGACCCCAAUUGGGGCGCCAACCGCCAGCGCCUAGCCGACUGCGCCAUUGGCUUUGGCCGUGGCGCAAAGGGGGGGAUGGGAGGCCGUUACUACGUUGUAACGGACUCCUCUGACCGCGACGCGGAGAACCCUAUCCCGGGCACCCUCCGCCACGCGGUCAUCCAAGACGAGCCCCUCUGGAUCAUCUUCCAAUCAAGCAUGGUGAUCAAGCUCAAGCACGAGCUCAUCUUCAACAGCUACAAGACCGUGGAUGGCCGCGGGGCCAACGUGCACAUCACUGGGAACGGCUGCAUAACCCUCAAUAUGUCAGCAAUGUGAUCAUCCACAAUGUGCACAUAUACAACUGCGUGCCAUCGGGGAACACGAUUGUGAGGUCGAGCCCUUCACACGCCGGUUGGAGGGGGAAGUCGGAUGGGGAUGGGAUAUCCAUCUUUUCAUCGAGGAACAUUUGGAUUGAUCAUUGUGCUCUGUCACAUUGCACAGAUGGCUUGAUUGAUGCCAUCAUGGGAUCAACUGCCAUAACCAUUUCUAACAGCUAUUUCUCCCACCAUGAUGAGGUUAUGCUGCUUGGCCACAAUGACAAUCACUUGGCUGAUUCAGGGAUGCAGGUAUUCAUCUCUAGCUCGACCGUGAUCUUUUCAUGCUCGUUGUGUUUGUCAUUCUAAUGGUGAUGAUUGAUUUAGGUGACUAUAGCGUUCAAUCACUUUGGGGAGAAGCUUGUGCAGAGGAUGCCGAGGUGCAGGAGAGGAUACAUUCAUGUAGUGAACAAUGAUUUCACGGAAUGGCAAAUGUAUGCAAUCGGAGGAAGUGCUAGUCCCACCAUUAAUAGUCAAGGAAAUCGGUAUAUGGCACCAGCUGAUCCUAAUGCAAAGGAGGUAACAAUCUCAGUCCAUUUUUUUGCAUAAUUUGAGGUAGAAAAUGAUCAAAUUCAUUGUACAAUUUAUGUGAUGAAACUCAUGAGGCUGAGGGGGCCAGGUCACAUGGAAAUUGAGGUUGGGAUUGUGAGAUCAGCUAAGUAGAAAGUAGAGUUAAGUUUUAAAAGAUUAGAGUUUGAAUUUGAUCAAUCUAAUGAGAAGAUGAGAUGUAGCCUUUUUUCUAGGGAAAUUGAUGGUGAUAUGAGCUAUUCACUAAAGUGAGGACCAGUGAUAGAUUCUUUGAUUCUUCUCUGUGCUUUUUCCUCAACUUGCAAUAUAUGAGAUUUCUUGAGCUUUUUUCUUCUUUUUUUUUGUAGGACCAUUUCUUUAUGAAAAGCUUUUUCAAGUGUCACUAUCACCAUGUAAUUUUAAUCACAGAAUAGAUCAAGUUUUACUGAAGUUUUUAAAUUGGUUGGAUAGGUAACAAAGCGUGUAGACACGGACGAGGAUGAGUGGGCCGGGUGGAACUGGAGGACGGAUGGGGACAUUUUGGUGAAUGGCGCCUUCUUUGUGCCAUCCGGUGCAGGGGUCAGCAUGCAGUAUGCUAAGGCGACAAGCGUCGAGGCAAAGUCUGCUGCCCUCAUCGACCAACUCACCAUGAAUGCCGGUGUUAUUGGUGGCCAAAGGUACACACACACAACACACUCUUCCUUUAUAUUAGCUUAUGAUAAUUCAACCAUAAUAUGAUUAUUGUGACAAAGAGUCAUAUGCUAGUGAUGUUUUUUACAUGUGCAUUAGAGUUUAACCUAAGUCAUAGCGUCUCAAGGGUAUUCUUGUCUUUUCACAUCAUAAGGUGGAGCUCUUUUUUGUCUACUAGGUGGCUUUUAGGGUGCUUUUGUAGCCACCUUUUUCACCAUCCUUCCUCUUAUGAGUGCUACAUCAAGGUUCCCCUCACAUUAAUUGACGUAUUUGCCCUCAUUCACGCACAAAACACAUAGAUAUUAGACACACUCAAUACGCUCCGUUGUACCAAAAAUGGCUCCAAUAUAUCUUCACCAUUCAUUACAUUUCACAUAGCCAUUCCCUAAUAACACUGACUCUCAAAAGCACAUACGGAAUGGAGCUAUUAAAACGCGAUGCUUAUAAAAUAAAAGGCGACGCCCCUCAAGAAUCUAGGUGACCAGAGAACCUUACAUUUUCCAAGUUACCUUUGAGGGCUUUUCUUCUUUUAGCAAAUUUUAUCAAAAUAGUCUUUCUUUAAAGUUUAGAGAGAUGUUUGGUAUAUCCACAAUGAGGGUACACUCUUCUUUUUCUUUUUCUUUUUUUGAUAACCAAUACUUUCUAUGUUCGGAAUAUUAGGCACUACACUUUGUAUAGCUAUGACAUGUAUAUCAUUUAUUAUUCAUCGCACAAUUUCUAUGCAAAUGUCAUCGGAAAACUCCGUUAUUUCAUCAAGCGUAGCAUCUAUCGUCCAUUCUACCUCUCUCUCUCUAUUUUUGGUCCUUUGGAUAAUGUAGGCCAUCCCAAGUUUGUGUAUGGGUAUUUUUAGCGAGGAUAGAGGUUAUUUACUUAGAUGCCAUGAUUCAUGCUUUCCAGCCAAUGGUGGGCUCCUUUAGUUGGACUUUUUGGGUUUGUGGGCCCGGCCCACAAUUUGGCUCUUUUCUUGGGCCCACUUCUCUACCAAGUUUUGUUUCAUAUAUAUUUACUUGGUUUAUCAAUAUUCUUGAAGAGGGAAUGACCAUUUUGCCCCAUUUUUCCAUAGAAAAGCCUAUAUCCAUUCUUUUAAAAAAAAUCCAAUUAUAUCUCUCGUUUGGUCUAUUGAAGUAUUUCACUUUAAUCUUGAAUUGCUUUAGAACUACACAAUGACCUCACAAUCUAAACAUGUGCUUGUUAUUUAAUACUACAUUUGGAUCUAAGAGUAACGACAUAGAGAUAUUGAAGCUAACGUCCACAUCUAACCACAUAUCGAAAUGCCAAAAUUAUCACUAAACUUAUAUUAUGAUUCUCGAAUGAGGAGUGGGACGUUAAUGUUUGACAUUGUAUACAAUAUUUAGUUUGUAAUUAUUGAUAUAUACACAUAAAUUUUUAUCACUAUACAAAACAUAUCCAUCGAAUCUAGCAUCUAGAGUCGUUCUUGAAAUUUGAUGACAAAAAGUCUACAUAAUAAAUUGAAAUAUUUGAUUUAUAUGAAAGAAAUUGAAAUAUUUGAUCGGUGACGUGAGGAAGAUUUGUCCAAAUGAACUAUGUUCCACAUGCUAUUUCCCGUUACGUGGGUCCCACUUGUGGUGGUCCUUUUCUUAUAUUUCAAUUCCUAUUUUAUUUUUCUAAUAGCUACCUAUUUCUGCAUGUGAGGCAAUCAAAUUAGUAAUUACUAGGAGGGCCCAUAAUUAAUAUGAUCAAUUGCACUUUUUUGGAUGGAAAAGUGACUAAUAUUGCGAUAUUUGAGAUGUUAUAUUUGAUUAGGUUGAACGAUGUCAUAUACUAGUAUUCAUACUAUCAUAACAUAAUUUAUUUAUACGAAACUAUUCAAGAAACAAAUAACUAUUCAAGAAAUUCCCCGAAAUUAAUAUGCUUGAUAUGUUGAGAUGCAUCAUUUAUUAAAUUACGCACACAAUUUAAAACAUAAAUAUAACCGACAAUCUAAUAGAUACCACAUAGAUUGCAUGGGCCUCAUUUGUAUAAAUGACAUGCAUUAUUGAAGGUUGUCAAUUUGGAGUUUGGACACCUACGCAAAAAUUAAAUUAAUUAAAUUUGGUGAAUUUAUUGUAGGGACAAUGGUUUUAGCGUAUCAUAUGGGGGAGGGGGCAGGGCUACCGGCGCAACCAGUGACGGCGGUGGUGGGCCCGACGGCAGCGGCAGCGGCUAUGGUGAUGGCGACACCUAUAGUAUGAUAUUUGGGAGCGGCGCGCCACCAACUCAAUUAUCUCGGCCACCCACCACUAUCUUAUUAUCUCUUAUAAUUAUUUUAGUUUUGUAUACCAUCACCAAUUGUGGUGCUUCACUAUCAUCACUCUCACUAUAGCUAUAGAAAAAUUGAACAAAUUUGGCAAAUGUUAUACAAAGGAGAAAAAAAGAAGAGAGGAGAUUAAUGAAGAAGUUUUAGAAUUCAAAUAAAAAUAUCCCCACUAUGUACAUACAAAAUUACAAAUACUACCUACAAUGUUUCACAAGUGAAAAUAACAUUGUGAUGAGGAAAAGUUGAUGGUAUUUUCAAAGAAAAGGCAUUAAAAUUAUGAUCAAUAUAUGUUUAUUAAUAUGUAUAUGUAAUUGGCAUUGGAAUUUAAAGAAUAUAUCACUUUCUUAGUGCAGAAAAGUCUUCUAAGCAAGAAAAGUUUACACUAUGAACACUAAGCUGAAAAGUUUGAUUCGUUACUGUUAAUUUUUCUGAUGAAACUUUUUUUGUUACCUCAUUAAUGAUUGAUUUCAAUUAAACAAAAACAUUAUUAGAAAUAAAAAAAAUUGGGCACUGCUCAAGUAAGCAACAUGAGAUUUCAUGAAGGUGAUAUAGCCAUCAUCAUCAGUUGCUUUCCAUUUCAGAUCAAUUUAUGAUGAAAUUCACUUCAUAUUAGAAACCAGACAAGAUCAGCACAUAUCAGAGAACUUCAAAUUUAGAUGGAGAUGAAUCAUUUUGUAUAUUUCUAUAAUCAAAUCAUCAAAGAAUAGAUGAAUGAUAAUUUACAAAGCUCUUGCAACAACAGCCUCAUCCUUGGAUUUUUCUGUUCAACUACUUGAUUUUCCACCAUAAAUAUUCUAUGAUGCAAAUAGUUGGCCAUUAUUAGGAUAAAGAAAUGAAAAAGUUAAAAAGUGUAUAACGAAAAAAUUUGAUGUGGGAAACACAAUUCAGCAGUAGUCGUACCUCCUUUCUUCUGAUAUUUUCCCUUUCUUUUCAGCUCUUAGCAAGCAACCAGGCAAAGGAAUUCGCCGAAACUCUACAUCUCCCAAGCAGAGCUUUGCCCAAUCCAGAAGCCAUCAAUAUUCUUGAAAAUAUAUUUUAAAAGAUCACUAAAUGAGAACCUUGUCGUCUCCUUACGCAACCUCAGCAGCUACCUCUUCCAGUCUUUUCCAAGUCGUGAUGCGUUUCUCUUCCAACUCUCUUGCCAUUGCCUCCUUUUUCUCAUACUGUCUCUGGCAUCGCUCAUAUAGCUCACUGUCCAUCUCCACGAACAUCCUUCGAACAUUGCAGCUCAAGCCGUUGAUUGCCUGGUUCCAAUGAUAUUGUAUAUUCUUCUCCAGUGGAUCGAAAAUGAUUGGCAAAAUAACGUGUCGAUUUUCUGCUAUCAAGCCUACUAUGUGUUCAUUGUUCCACCAAAAAAGAGCUCGUUCAGCCACCUGUACCACAGAAAGGGGGCAAUCUAGACGAUCAACCAGCAACAAGAAUUUCUAUAAAAAAAAUACUACUAUGAAAUAUAACAACGUUUCCGUAGUAAACAGAGAUUUGAUAAGGAAACAUGAUUCAUAGAACACACAUCUUAGCAUAUAUGAAGAAAUAGUAAGCUUCAAAUACAUGAUCUGAACGCGUAUUUUGUUUGCAUACUCUCCUCCGAAGAGCACACACUAAACCAAAUAUUCAGGCUAAACAAUGUAUAUACAAUGAUGAGAUGCUCCACAACAACAUUGACAAAGAAUGGAAGGACACAACACCACUUUGGCCACAUCCAAAACAGGGGUAAACAAACAAAGUUAUGUACCCUAAACUAGCAAUAUUAAGCAUGUUCAAAACAAGGUCAAGAAAAAGGCAUAUCGUGGGCACGCAUGCACGUAUAUGAAGCUCAAUGACCUGUUCUCUUAUCAUAGGCCUGCAUAAAUUAUGGAAUGUACAAAUUAAUGGGCAUUCUGGAACCUGGAAAUGAGGGCUUCUGAUGCUUCGUCCUAUUUGUUUAAACAAAGGAACCAUGCAGCGCUGGAACUCUAAAGUUUGGGUGACCUCCAAAAUUUCUUCUAAUUCCCCAAGAAACAGAACCUCUUUGCCACAGUUUGAGAUAGGCCAACACUUCAGCAAACCCCUAAUAACGAUAUCAGCCAACCUGUAAUCUUUCUCGACAAAUAGUGUCAUACAAUAGGACAACUGAUGAUGGUAGGAAGCAACACAUUUAGGUUUGUGUAAUGGAAUAAGUGCUCGUACAAGAAACAACUUAUGCUCUUCUUUCAUUGGCACUGCAAACCCAUUGAUAAUACUUGCAAAAAUCUCCAAUAACUCAUUAACCCCACCAUACCUCUCUGUCUCAAAUAUAAACCGAUACAAGAUGUUGUUCAUUGCAGUCCUUAUAUAGGGCCGAUGAACCAUGAACCUCCCAUAUAUCCGAUGAAGAAUAGUCUUCAAGUACUCCCUCUCUCUUAUGUCCUCACAAUCAAACAGAUCGAGCAAUUUUAACACAAACGAGUGAUCAAGGUAUCUCUUGGCAAUCUUGGUGUCUGUAUCAGAUGACACCACAUAUCUCAAAAGCAACUCAUAAACUAGUUGCAAGUGAGGCCAGGCUGGUUCCAUAUACAUCUCGUCCUCUUCAGGAUCUCCACCCGGUCCACCAGUAGCCUCGUGCGCUGCAGGUGGCAAGCUCCGGAAUAUAUUCAAGGCUAUCAUCUUGACCAUCUCAUCUUGCAUUAUCUCAUUCAUUUUACACGAUCCCGUCUGCACAAUAUCAAUAAGCUCCGCGAGGGUCUGCCUCUUGAUCUCCUUCUCUCGCGCAGACUUCAUUGUAUCCACAAAAUCAAAGAAAAAACAGCACACAUGGACCUUCCUGAUGAACACUCCAUGUUUCUCAUUUAAUGGGGUAUCCUUCAAAUUUGGCAACACCUCCACCGUGGCCGGCCUAGGUGGGACGACGGGACCAGCCGUUGGCUUCGGCGUCACGUUCGUCCGUGAUGCAUGAUUGACUGUCACAUUAGACGGUGGAGGUGCUGGUGCGGGAACUGGUGCCUCAAUUGAUUCCUUUGAGGACUUUUUCCCCCUUUUCAUUAUUUUGUUAAACAUCUUGCCUCUUUUUAUUUCCUUACCCCAAAUCAAAAAUCACAAGCAAUCAAAGAUACAGAAUCACAAAACCAGUACCUGCAACACUAAUCAACUACUAUGUUUUCCCCAAUUCAGACCCAUUUUCUCCUUCUUUUACAUUUCCUCAUCAAUUUCAUUCUCAUUUUCAACAUUUCCUACAUAAUCGUAACCAAACCAAUUUGCAUACAAAUUCUGCACCUGGAAAUUGGCAAAGACAAAAUAAUAGCAAACAAGAAAACCGGCAUUAAUUAGCGUCAAAUUACAACAUUGAAUAGAACAAGGAUCAGAGUCGCGGAGCAUUCUUUUAUUGUUGUUGCUGUAAUAAAAGCAGAAAGUAAAGACAAGUACCUCAAAUGAGAUGGGCUGAAAAUUGAGAAAGCCAAAUGAAAAUCUGGAAAUCAACGACAUGAGAGAGAAAAAAACGUAUGAGGCGAGGUGAGAGAGAAUUGCGUGUAUUGAUUUGGGAAACAAAGAUCCGAAAAAAAGGUGGGAAGGAGAAUUAUUUUCUAGAACUAAAUUUUCUACUUCCAAAUUAGGAUAAUUAUUUAAUUAAAAGAACUAAACCAAAAAAGUAAUGUUACAAAUUCUUCAUUCUUUCUUAAUCUUUGCGUAUAAAAUUUUACCUAUAAAUUAUCCAAAUUUUAUCAAAUUUUAAUUUGGAGAAUUGAAAAUUACAAACUCUAAGAUUCUUUUUUUUAAUAGUAACGGCCAACGGAAAUGUAUAAAUAAAUUACGAAUUUUAUCUUUAAGUCACUGAACAGCGAGACUGAUUUCAAUCCGCCAUCUACCACCGCGAAAUGGCGGCGAUAGCAGCUGCAGCGACCGCGUUCUCAACGCUCCAUCUCUCUAGAACCUCCAUCAUCCUCCCCCGCCGCCACCUCCGAACAGUGAUUACCUCCUCUCUCUCAUCCACCGACAUCAACAUCAAAUUCGCCCCGCCCAAACAUAAACCGCAAUUGCAGAAACCCUCGCCGCUCGCUUCAGCCUCCGCGGAAUCAGUACCCGCAGACCCGGUCUACAUCCCCUGGAUUGUCAGUGACGAGAACGGCAAUGUCAAACUCCAGUCGACGCCGUCGGAGCGUUUCCUCAGAGCCAUCGCGCAUGAGAGCACGCAGAAAAAGAAGAAGAAAGAUGAUAGAAGUAGUGUUGGUAAAGCCAAGCCGGGGGUUCCCACAGCUGAGCCGAAGUACUCGAAGGCGGCUCGGAGGUUUUACAAUGAGCGAUUCCGGGAGCCUCCGCAGCGGCUCGCGAAAGUGCUGGCGGCUGCAGGAGGUAAAUACUAGUCUUAUUUUUUUUGUUUAAAUACCUAACUUCUGGAAGUAAUAUAAUGAAGACAGUUGGGGAUGGAAGAGGCACAGGUGCUUGAUUAGUUGAUUUACAGGAUUUGUUUUUGUAGUCUUACAUUUUCUGCCUACUUAGUUGACUAAUCUACCAGAGAUGACAUAGUAUAAUCUGCGUGAAACCUCAAACGGAAAGUUGUAAAUCUAAUUGGUUAGUGUAUUGGGUGUAGUGAUGUUCAGUAUCAUGUGCUAUUUUGUGACUUGGUUUGAUUGACAGUGGCAUCUAGGAGAAGUUGCGAGGAGCUGAUUUUUCAAGGGAAGGUGACCGUCAAUGGCUCCGUAUGCAACACACCCCAGGUUGGCGUUACAGUCGUUUUAGGAGUCAUAUCAAUGUAAUGGUAUUUAGCAUAUAUCGUGGGACUUUGUCAUCUGCCAGUAAUACCAAGAAUGGAUAGUUAAGAUGACUAUAAGUUUAUAUGAUUCUCAUUUUUUUCUCAUUUUGCGUUUCUUGAUUCUUUGAUGAUGGGGCCAGACUAGAGUAGAUCCUGCUCAAGAUAUUAUUUAUGUUAAUGGAAGCCGUCUGGCAAAGAAGCUUCCUCCUAAGGUCUAUCUUGCCCUAAACAAGCCAAAAGGGUUUGUUAAUAAACUCUAUCUCUAAUUUUUUGGCACUUAAAUCUUGGCCCCAAUGUUUAACGGAACUGGAGUUCAUACAAAAUUUCAAUUAUCGCAGAUAUAUAUGCUCAGCAGGAGAGAAAGAGACGAAAUCUGCACUCUCUCUGUUUGAUGAUUUUAUGAAAACUUGGGUAUGAGGACUACUAAAGUUGCUUUUGCACAGAAUUUAUCUCAGCGUGCAACUACUUUUUUCUUAAGAUCCCGGUCGCUGAAUUAAGAUGUCUGAUGCCUUUGUAUCAGAAUAAAAGGAACCCUGGAACACCAAAGCCAAGACUCUUUACGGUUGGCCGCCUUGAUGUUAACACAACCGGGUUAAUUAUAGUGACAAAUGAUGGUAUAGAUCUAUUGUAUGCUUUAUUCUUAAAUUUGCAAGUUGAUAUAUUUGUUUUCCAUAUAAUGAGUUCUCUGUAUGAUUUUUAGGUGAGUUUGCCAAUAAGGUUUCCCAUCCUUCAUCCAAUUUAUCCAAGGAGUAAGGGCUUGCUUCCCCCUCUCUGUUGUUUUAGAACAGUAUCUACUAUCUAUUUAUCUUGUUAACUUUUAUGAUGAACUUAUAGUUGUUGUCUCAUUUCCUUGUUAAAAGUCUCACUGCAACUCUUUCCAUCUCAUACUCAUAGUGCACGUGAUAUCUUUCUACAUUAACCAAAAUGUUCUUGAAAGCCUUUUCAUUUUGGCAUUAGCAUUAGUAAAGUGGUUCGUGAUCUUGUGCUUGUCUAUUUGUAGUUUAUUUAACAAAUGCACUUCCAAUUUUAUUGGUGGCAGAUACAUUGCAACUAUUAGUGGCGCGGUCAGUAAGCGGCAAUUGCUUGCCAUUGGCGAGGGAACAGUUGUAGAAGGUGUCCAUUGUAUCCCUGAUCUGGUGGAGUUGCUACCACGACAGCCAGAUAUUUCGAGAGCUCGGAUUCGCAUUGUGGUACUGCUGUAACUUAUGCAUUCAUCUUCUUUUUUCUUCAGUUUCUUUGUAGUUGAACUUAGUGUUCGUAGUUGGUUGCCGAGGUUGCCUUUUUUAGUCAUUUCCGUCAUAUGAAAUUGUGAUAUGCCAAAUCGUUUUGCUUUUGCAUUUUUAAAGAGUCAACCAGUCUGUUGGAUGGAAUUCUCUUUCUUAGAUAGUAUUUCAAUCUGAUAAAUGUAUGUGAUACUGUCUUCUAAUCUCUACAUUUUAACAGUUGCCUUUAUAUUGGCUUUCUGGGCUGAGUGGGGUGGAGGUCUGUUGUAAUUUCCUGCUAAACUUUUGCUCCUUUCUUGACAUGAAAUGCUGCCCAACUGAGGAUCUCUUACAAAAUUAAGGAAUAAAACUAAUAAAAUAGAAAUGCAUGUAUCAAGCGGUAGCAAUCUUGUAAAUGCACUAAUAGAAAAUUCCAGAUUUUGGUUUUGUUUGUCUUUGAGGUCAUCUGCACUAGCUUCUACAUUUGAUCUUUCUUUGUAUUCUUAACCCUGCAUGGAUUUCUUAGACUUCGCGACUGGACGCCAGUUUGAAAUGGUUUGGCUUGAAAGUAUUAAAAUUGCUUCAUGUUAUCUGAAUAGGGAUUUGUGCAUUGUAUAUGUUCUGUGAUGUUUGAAUCAAGACGAAUAUUACACCUCAUUGUUUCCUUAAUGAGGCAGGUUCACGAAGGAAGAAAUCAUGAAGUGAGAGAACUUGUAAAAAAUGCUGGACUUCAGGUACUGUGGGGAUUGCAGCAUGCCUUUAACAUAUGAUACUUACCUCUACUUGAUUCAUCAACUGAUUUUUUAACAAUACCUGGAGCUGCUGAUCAAGGUUUAAACGCCACACUUGUGCUCUUUAGGACAAGUUGAAGAACAUUGUUUCUGACCUUCAUCAACACUGACCUUUUUCUAGAUAAAAUUUAGCCAAAAAGUCCCAAAUCACAGGCAUCUUAUGAAUUUGUAUUCUAAAUAUUGACUACUCUCACUUUCCAGUAAAGGGGUCAUGUUUCAUGCCUUUCUUCAUUUGUCUGUGCUUGUUUCAGAUUCAUUCCCUGAAGCGUGUGCGUAUAGGCGGUUUCAGGCUUCCAUCUGAUCUUGGGUAAGCUUUUCAAGUUCUUUCCAAUUUAAAACUUGUUUACGUCUUUGUCAUCACGAGUUUUGCUGAAUCAGAAGUAGACAGUAGGUUUUAACAUUUCCAAAACGGCCUCGGAUUAUCAGCCCUUUUACCUUAACAGUUUGUGUUUCACAUUUUGCUUCAGAAUUUGAAAGUGGCUAACAAAUUAGGUGGCAUAUAUCAAUCUUUAUCAUAUUCUUGAAACAUACAACAAAGUUCCCUUUUAAUGAUCUGUUUACAUAUUACUGUGUCAUCUUGGACAGGCUGGGCAAGCAUCAAGAACUAAACGCGGCUAGUUUGAGAGCACUGGGCUGGAAGAGCUAAAGACAUCGCUCACGAAUGGUGAUCUUAUGUUAUUACCAGACACUACGCCUUGCUCAAUUUUGGUCGAGCAUAGGCCUCAUUGCAGUUGUGAGACAGGAGAUGAAAAAAUGAAUUUACCAGCUCAGAUAGAUGUUGAAGGGAAGGGACUCAAAUUGAUAUUUGGUAGAAUUUAACAUCACUUCUCACUCAUGUAUAGUUUACUGCACUUGGAUUUGCACAAGUGUUGUAGUGUUUUAACUCUUGAAAUGAUGCAUAUUUGUCUGUGCAUACAACCUUCUUAUGUUAUUAUUAGUUCUCUAAUUAACUUUGUUGUUUAUAAGAAAAUAUAGAUCCUAGUAAAUGUUAAUUUGUAAGUAUGCGUUAAUGAAGUUGAAUAAGUUUGUGAAUUCGAAAAUUUGAAAACAAACAUGAUGAAUAAAGUGUGUAUGGAUGAAACUAAAAACAGAUUUUACAAAAAUUGGCAGAUAAAAUCCAUUAUCCUUCCGAAAUCUCAAUCCUCAUCAUCACUCUCAUCGCUAAAAUAACCCUUCUUCUUCUCUCUCCUCUCCUUUCUCACUCCUCCCUUCCCAUCCUCCACCUUCAGCAGCCUCUCCUCCGCCGCCCCUCCUCCAUCCACCACCGACGCCCAAUUCUCCAUCUCCAGCUCACCUUCAUCUUCCCGUUCCUCCUCCUCCUCCCCCCUUCAAAAUCCCUCCCCCUACUCUCCCCUCCACCGCUACCGCCUCGCCGCCCCUUCUUCGGCGGCGGCGGCCGCUCCCUCGGCCCCAAAAAAUUCCGCGGGCACUCGUACGACAAAUGCCCCUCCUCGCCGCACUCGUAGCACCUGCUCUUGUCCUUGUACACCUUCUUCUUAAUGAACUCCGUCGCGCGCCCGUUGUCGGCGGCGAUCGAGGCGCGUAGGGUUCGGCCGUUGAGGAUCUUCCCGUCCAUCUCCUUGGCCGCCCUGGCGGCGUCCUCGCGGCGGACGAAGAGGACGAACGCCACGCCCUUGCUCUGGCGCGUGGCGCGGUCCUUGAGCACCGUGACCUUGGCGAGCUUGCCGAAGGUGGAGAAGAUCGUGUGGAGGUCGGAGUUGGUCAGGUUGUAGUCGAUGUUGCUGACGUACACCGUCGAUUUCGACGGCGCCAGCCCUCCGCUUCCGCCGCCGCGCAAGGAUUUGGAUGCGCCGGUGGACGGCUUCGCCUCGGCGGCGGCGGAGGAGUAGCGGUAGAAGAAGGUAUCGUCCUCUUCGUCGUCGCUCUGGUUUCUCUUCCGAGGCAUCUUUUCUUUUUCCUUAUUUUUUUUUGGGAGGAAAUGAUUAUUUUGCCCAUUACUUAUUGAGCUAUGAAUUUCAAGCUAAAGUCGCACUUGUUUUUUUGCUAUAUUUUUAAGCCGCUGAAGCUUUUUAUCCUCUCUUUUUCUUUUUAACUUUAUUUCUUUUCUGUGUUAUUGAUUAAUUCAUUCUUGAAACAAAAAAAUAUUAAUUCAAGUAAAAUUUCAGGGAUUUAGCUUAGUUUUCAAUUCCCAUUAUCUUUAAGUUUUUUUAAUUAUAACAUGAAAUAAUUUUGAUCCAAAAUAACUGCGUUGGUACUGGUAGACUUUUGAUCCGAGUUUAUCUCACUCACAACUUCGAACAAGGAUGCCAGAAUAUAUAGAAUUAAUUGUUGGAAAUAACCAAAAGUUAAAUCAAACUUGUAAACGGUAGUUGCAUGAAAAUUACGCACAAAUUUGGAUCAAAUGUGUCAUUUCCAACAAUCAGCCCAUUUAAACAAAACAAGUAUUUACAAACAUUCAGCAUAAAUAUUUAAAUCCAACACUUAAGUAAUUAUUCAGAUCACCCUUUAUUCUGGGAUUUGAUACCACAUCAUUAAAUUGAUUAUGAUGCCAUCAAAAUCAAGAUUCUAUAAACAAUCAAACCAGAUACAAUAUUAUUCGAAAUGAGGCAUCACAGCAUCAGUACAUGUCAAAUACAUCUAAUUCUGCAACCCUUCGAUUCCUUACAAACAAGAGAGCUCCAGCUCAAUUAUACUUGAUGAAUUCUAAACAGUUCAAAAAAAAAAAAAAAAACCCUACUACAUGUAGCGACCAAGAACUCGACUUUGCAACGACCCUACUAUAUAGAGUAAACCAACGAGACCGGAUAAGAUACUUCACACGGUCUGAGUACCUUAUAGGUCGAGCCUGGCACAUGUAGCGCCACUACCUAAAUAACUAGACAUCCGACAUCUAACUAGCUUUCCCUACAUGCUAUCACUUGUAGAAUCGAAGAACAUGAGCUAAGAAAGAGUACAGCAUUAGCAUACAUGUAGAAUUGAGACUAACCUAAUGGUAUAACAAAGGAACGAGGGUUGCGGUUGUUGGAACGUCAUCAUUCCGAGGCGGUAGAGUCUGUUGGUGUUGCUUUCAAUCUGAGAUAAUGGAGUGAGAGAAGGGUUAUAGAUGCAUGGUAUUGUAUCUGUUGAAUCAGCAACGGUAAGCUCUCAGCUCUUUUUGAUGAAUUUUAUUUCUUAUGCUUACUGCUGAGAGUGGGGUUUCUUUAGCGAAUUACUCUAAGAGCAAACUUAUGGUGAUAAGAUAAUAACUUUAUCUGAGAAUGGAUUGGCUCUUUGCUCGCUCUGCUGCUCUUGAGGUUUGCUAUUUGACUAUAUUUGGAAACGCUCGUGUGCGUGUGUGUUGUUCUUUUUCAUGUGAUGAAUCAUAACUCAAUGCUUAUGAGAUGAGAUUUUCUCGGCUGUGUAUAUAUUAGUUAUAAAUUUAGGUGGAUAUAUCAUAUAUGGGUUAUUCGCCUCUUUGUUAUUGCUGUCGUCGUCGUUGUUAUGGUGGGUUGGCCGUGCUGAUUGACGCGGGUUGAUAUGUGGAACAUCCUCUGUUAAGUUGAUUUUCAAUGUGGUUUUGAGUAGUGAAAAUAUCAUUUAAGAAUAUACAUCUAUCUCAUUUACGACGAACUCACGUUGCAGCUAUAGAACAUAUAUAUAUAACAGGCAGCUAGGAAGGGGCCACCUACAGGUACACUUCGAUGAAGGCCGCCGAGAAUAUGAGGCCGUACUCCCGCUUGCAGACGGCACGGCUCUGAAGAAGGCUGGCGGCGCCAGACAAGCCACGAUGCGAUCCAUCAGAUUCUGCAGUCCAUCCAAGGAUUUGGGUUUGGAUUUGUGGUGCAGAGUAAUGUUGAGGAAGCGAAUGCGUAGGAAAUAGGUAUGCUUAUGGGAGUGUGCUAAUAAUAAAAUUUCGAAUUGCUGCAAAUGUUAGUAUGUUCUAACAAUUGAAUAACUUAGAACAGCAGUAACGUGGAACAUAGUUUUUUUUUUUUUUUUACUUGGGGACAUGGAACAUAGUUUCAGAAGCAAAAAGAUGAUCAAAAAUAAGUUCCGACACUCGGAGUAUUUAAUUUAGCAAAAAGAUGCUUAUGGGAGUGUGGAAAGGCUCCAUGUUUGGAGUUACAAAUUUAAGGAUUUUUGGCAAGGGGAAGAAGCAGAAGAUAGUUUCUGACGAUGAUUGUUUUUGUAUACUGCACACAUAGAUGUGAGCUGCUUAUGUAAUUUAAAGUUUAAAAAACUGUAAUUAGAUUUCAAUAUUUGCAAACCUAAAUAAAAGUAUUGAAAUAAAUAUUUUCUUCAAUUGAAUUUGGUCACAUAAAGUACUUAAUAAUACUUCAAUGUAUUUUAAAUAAAUAGGUAGUUCAAUUUAAUUUGGUCAUAUAAAAUAAAGAAAAUGAUACUAAGAUAUAUGUGUAAUAAAGAAAAUUUUCAAUUUAAUUUUUCAUAUAAAAUAAUUUGAAAUAAAUCUGCAUUUCCACAUUAAUCUCAUAAUGAUAUAUCUAAAUAAAAGGCUUAAUCUUCAUUCAUAUAUUAGCUUAACAUCGUUCCAUAUUAUAUUUUAUCAUUGCGCAUUGAUCUUUAUUGAACUUCACUAUGAAAAAAACAUAAAUAAAAGGAUACUUUUGAGAUAAUUUAAAAUAAAUAGAUUCUUCAAUUAAAUUUGAUCAUGAAAAAUAAUUUCAAAUAAUUAUCAUUCUCGAAUUGAUCUAACACAUGCUCAUAUAUAUUGAAUCUAUAUUAAAUCUCACAAUUCACAAUUAAAAAAAAAUAUUAUUAAACUUUACCAUUUAAAAAUCUAAAUAAAAAAAAUACUUAAACUUUGAAAAAUUAAUAAAUAUAUAUUUAAAUAUAUUUGAAAUAAAUAGGUUCUUAUUGUUUGAAAUUUUAUCGAGAUUAUUAACAAAUUAUUGUUUAACAUUUUAUUUGGUUAUAUACAUAUUUUAUAAAUUUUAAAAAAAUCAAGAAAUUAGUUGAUAUUAUUAUAUGGGUUUAGGACGAGAAUAAGUAUUAAAAUAAUCACAUAUCUAAUAGGAAAUGGAAUACUCCUAUGUGGCAUCACCAUAUUUUUGCACUUUUAUUUAUCCUAAUUCUCUAGACAUUUUCAUAUUUAUUCAUUCUUAUUUAUCAAAAUCUUCUCAUCCCACAUUGAUUUUUUAUGAGAUUUCACCAAAAUAAAAUCUAUAUAAAAGGAUGCUCUUACUCUCCAAACCAAAAACCCACAUUUAAUUGGUGAAGUGAUUGAGAUUAAUACAAUUUGAAUUGCAAUAAAAGUUGAUCGAAUUUAUUUAGUUGAAUAAAAAAUAAUUAAUUUUAUUUUUUAAAAUAAAUACUUGUGAUUAAAUAAAUUAUUUCUCCAUUUUAAUUUGGUCAUAAAAUAAGAUAUUUUGCAUAUUUUUUUUUGGAUUACAGCAUUGAUUUUUUAUGAAAAAUCACCAAAAGAAAUACUAAAUAAAUUAAUAUGAUAUAAUUUGAAUAUCACAUCAAUUUUCUCAAGCCUUAGACGAGAUGAUUCUCACAACUUAGUUAUAGUCUUUCAAACUUCAAAUAAGAUGAUUAUCACGAAUCAGUUUUAUUCUUUCAAACUUCAAACGAAAUGAUGCUUGAAACUCAGUUAUGAUAUUUUAAGCUCUAAAUAAGAUGAUGCACAAGUGGUGAUUUUUUAAGCUCUAUACAAGAUGAUAUUUAGAAGUUAGUUAUAAUCUCACAAGCUUCAGAUUAUAUAAUCUCACAAGUCAGCCCUGGUCUUUCAAGCUCAUAAUGAAAAUGAUGUUUAGAAGUGAAUUAUGAUAUUUAAAGCAUCAGAUAAUGAUGUUCAAACAAUUGACGCAUUCAGGCAUAGUAUUUUAGGGUCUAGACGAGAUAAUGCUCAAAAGUCAGAUAUCGUCUUUCGAGUUCUUGAUGAUCAUGAGAUGAGAUGAUGCUUAGAUGAAAAAUGAGAUCUUAAAUUAAUUCUUAUCCAUCAAUAUAUUAAAAAUGUACAAAAUUUAUAUAAACGGGUAUUUUUACUAUUCUAACAAAAAGUUAACAUUUAAUUGACGAAUAUAAUUAAGAUUAGUAUAAUGUAAAUUCUAUUACAUCAAACUAAAUUAAUUAAAAAUUAAUUAUAUUAUAUAAAAAUAAUAUAAAUAAUUUAAAUUAUAAUUUAAAAUCCCGUCGAAUUUCGACGGGUUAUACACUAGUUCAGCAUAAAUAUUUAAAUCCAACACUUAAGUAAUUAUUCAGAUCUCCCUUUAUUCUGGGAUUUGAUACCACAUCAUUAAAUUGAUUAUGAUGCCAUCAAAAUCAAGAUUCUAUAAACAAUCAAACCAGAUACAAUAUUAUUCGAAAUGAGGCAUCACAGCAUCACUACAUGUCAAAUACAUCUAAUUCUGCAACCCUUCGAUUCCUUACAAACAAGAGAGCUCCAGCUCAAUUAUACUUGAUGAAUUCUAAACAGUUCAAAAAAAAAAAAGCCUACUACAUGUAGCGAUCAAGAACUCGACUUUGCAACGACCCUACUAUAUAGAGUAAACCAACGAGACUGGAUAAGAUACUUCACACGGUUCUGAGUACCUUAUAGGUCGAGCCUGGCACAUGUAGCGCCACUAC
rnacentral:lncRNA from 1 species